rnacentral:lncRNA from 1 species
GGCCCCAUGGUGGGGGCCAAUUGUACCUAUGUGGACAAUGAUGGGCUUAGACAGUACCUGUAACCUGCUAUAGAAUUGUUGAGGUGUCAGUGAUCUUCGUGCCUCCUUCCUCCAAUGUUGACGCUCGAUCGACCGAGGGGAGUACCUGCGAUUGCACUCUGACGCUCAAGUUAGUACUCUGUUUAAGGUGUGUUCUAGUGAGAUGUAAAAAUGUACCUUACUCCUUUUUCGAGAACCCUAUUUAUAGUAUUGUUUUGCGUACUUUUUGUCCUUUAUGGACCGGAGAUCAGUUGUCAACUAAUAUGCAGUGGUUCCUUAAUCUUAGGGAAGUGUAUAAUCUAUUUUAUCCGUUAUAUAUUGGAGAUAUUUCCCGAAUAUUUUGGGAUGUGCAUGGACUCAUUCAAUGCUAGUGAUAAUUGCUAAUGAUAAUAUUUAUUUAUUGUAUUCGUUAUGUUAUAUGUUAUUUUACUCGGACGGUCGGUCACUAAGGCUAGCUCGUCCGGUACCGACCGGUACAGAAAAAAGCAUCAAAACCAUGAGGACCAAAAGCACUAUUACCAUUAAGAUUAAAAAUAGCAGUUUUGAUUUCCAAAAAAUUAGGACAUUUAAUCAACAAUAUAUUCUCCUCAGAGAAAACUAGCUCAAGAAUAUAAGAACCAAUAAAAUCCUCCAUAGUACUUGUAUCUGGAACAUUAAAAAUAGACUCAGUAUAAAGAUUUUUAUAAAAGUCCAAAAAUAAGAUCCUCAAUGAGUUUAGGAUCCUCAGUAACCUCAUUAUCAAUCCGUAGAUGAUGAAUCCCACUAGAAUUAUUUCUCCUUUUGACCACAACAUGGAAAAAAGUUGUAUUUCGAUGUCCAUCUUUGAACCAUAACAUUUUAGUCCUUUCUUUCCAAAACAAAUAUUAACAGUGAAGAGCAUGAUCAAACUCCUCCUUAACAAUCUUUUCUUGACAAAGAAGCCCAUCAAUUUUAGACAAACUAGAAGUCUCUAAGUUUUGUUGAAUACUAAGGAGUAGACCCUGCUUAAGAAGAACUACAUUGUGAGCAUUACCAUAAGAAUUUUUAUUCUAGUCUCGGAGUUCAAUUUUCAACCUUUUUAACUUAUGUUGUGAAAUAAACAUAUAACAAUCAACAACCUUAUUAGCCCAAGAAUCAGCUUCAGACAUGAAGUGUCCUAAAGCUACAUAGAAAAGAAACAAAAAUUGUUAACCUUCCUCAAAGAAUUACUACCAAGACUAGCAAGAAUAUGAGAAUGAUCAGAACAAUUUUUAACAACAACCUGAUAAGUACAAGAAUCUUAUUCAUCCAGACACAUUCCAUAAAGCCCUAUCCAUUCUUCUAUGAAUUCUAUGCAACCCUCUCCUUCCAUUACACUAAGUUUAACAAGAUUUAAUAAAAGGCAUACAAGAAAGAUCUUAGUAUUAAUCCAAUCAAGAAAUUCAUUACAAAAAACCUAAUUAGGAGUCACCACCUUUUACAGUCAUUCGCCUAGAACACAACAUUAAAAUCUCCCAUAAUAUACCAAGGCCCUAUGAAGGAACUAAGAUCCUUCCACAAAAAUCGUCUAGCCAAGUAUGUGUUAGCACCAUAAACACCUGCAAAGCUAAAACAUUUAUCAUGCAGAAGGCAUGUUAUAGAAAUAAAUUGAUCAUUGACCAAGAAAUUUUGGACAAGAUUAGGAACCGACACAAACACCAAAGCUUAGCAGCUUUAUUAACAAUAGAAGACGUAGCCACCAAAUGCAUAUUAACAGAUUUGAAAAGGAUGUCGAAAACAUUAGUGUACGACAUCAUGAGUUCAACAAGAAAAACUAAGAGGGGUUUAUGUAAUUUAUGUAAACUAAUCAACAUCUCCACAAUUUUGUAGUUUUCCAGUCCUCUAACAUUUCAGAAAUAUGAAGAGACCUUCAUUGCAACAUUGUAGAGAGAACUGCCUUAGCAGUUUUUUUGGAUUUUCCAGUUCCCUUAGGUGAUCUCCCUGGUUUUCUUUUAGUGCAAACUAUUUCCUCCCUAAUAUCAUUGGCAUCCUCCUCCAUCUCGUUAGAAUCAACCCAAAAUUUUGAAACAACAUUUAUAGUUUUUUGUGUUGUUUGUUCUCCUUCACUUGGUCUUCCUUUAUUGUAUUUAGUUAAAGGUGUUAUCGAUCUUCUCUUCUUAGUUAUAGUCUUCUCUUCUCAGUUCUGUGGGAUGGGUAUCUAUAAAAGAUUUUGACAUCCAAAUUAAUAAUGAUUUAUUUAAGUGAGUUAUUAAUGUUGAGGUUACUUACUUCGUGCUUAUUCAUUGAGUACCUAUUUAUACUUAUUUUUUAUGGAGUUGGUGGUAAAUCAUAGAAGGGAAAACUUUUAUUUUUUUAUGGUAAAAAAUUCAUUUAUACCUGUUCUUUCACAAGAAAAAAAAAGGAAAAAACCUGGGAUUGGUUGAAUUUCAAAUAUUCCAAUUUACUAAUAGAAUACGAAGACUUACGUCACAUUUUGAAUUGCACCUAAAAGACUAUGAACAAUAUUAGAAUUUUUAUGAUAUUGUAUAUUUCCUUCUUACCCAUGUGAUAUAAUAUUUAUUAAACUUAUUUUAUAAAGCUCGUAUUUUCCGAGACCAAUAAAUCAAAAUAGAUGUGAAUCGGUUAUUCGUGCAAAAGGAACUCACAGUCACAUGUUAAGCCAAGAGGUAGUUACGUUUAUAAAAAACUACGCUUAGAUAUUACAUUUAUAAAAGAGUUAUGAUAUAUUGACACCGUCUGAUAGUAACACACUUCUGACGUUGUAGAUGUGGCAAUGACGUGACAAAUUCAAAAUAGGGUAGUAACGCGAAUGAGCAGUGAGGCGUGAACGUUAAAAUAGGGUAAAACGAAUAUAUUACAUCGAUUCUUUGUAACAACCGAUGUAAUAUAUUAAUUUUUUUUUACUCAAAACAUAUUACAUCGGUUAAACCAUCUAACGAGUGUAAUAUAUGACCCAUAUUCAAAAGCUUUUAGAAUUUUUUUUCAUGAAAAGUGGGAGGCCAUAAACGUUACAAAAGUAACCACUUACAGGCACAUGGGUAACCAGUUUUGUGUGUACGAGUAUAUGUGGAAGAACCUGUGGCUGGGUAACCAGCUUUGAUAGGGUGGGUGUCCAGUUCUGCCAUGGGUGUAAUGUAUGACCCAUAUUGCACAUGUUAAACCAUCUAACCGGUGUAAUAUAUGACCCUUAUGAAAAAUGAAUUUUGAAUUUUUUUCAUGAAGAGUGGGUGGCCAUAAACGUCACAUAAGUAACCACUUACAGACACACGGGUAGCCAGUUUUGCAUGUGCCAGUACAGGUGGAGGAACUUGUGGCUGGGUAACCAGCUCUGGUAGGGUGGGUAUCCAGUUCUGCCAUGGGUGUAAUAUAUGACAACUUUUUGAAUUUUUUUCAUCAAGAGUGGGUGGUCAUAAACGUCACAGAAGUAACCACUUACAAGCACACAGGUAACCAGUUUUGCGUGUACCAGAACUUGUGGUUGGGUAACCAGCUCUGGUAGGGUGACUGUAAUAUAUGGCUCAUAUUACACUGGUUAAGCCAUCUAACCAGUGUAAUAUACGACCCAUAUUACACCGGUUAAGCCAUCUAACCAGUGUAAUAUACGACCCAUAUUACACCGGUUAAGCCAUCUAACCGGUGUAAUAUAUGUGCUUCUCGCUGCUUCUUUCUCCCUCCCUCUGAUGAGGUCACUGUUUCAUCCCUUUCGUUAGAUCUUCCCUUUCGUUUGAAACUCUCUCGCUUUCGCUUCCGCACCCGCACUCAAACGCUGAACUCUUAAACUUUUACAAAACUAUCAUAUCACUCCCAUCAAAAUUACAAAAAACCUCACUGCCACAUCCUCACCCAAUAUUACGUAUUCGAUGUCAAGUCUAUGUUAGUUGACAGAGGGGUUAACAAAACAUUUUUCUUUAUAAAAACUUACACUUUUCUUUAUAAAAACCUAAACUUACUUAAUGGUGAACAGCAAAUGAGGUGAUGAAUGACCAUCAAAAUAAUUUAAAAUGGAAAGCCACUUUAUUUUAGAGAGAUUUGGUAUGGCACAAUGAUCAAUCCUCAUUGGAAUCAGUCGAAUCGUCAUGCUCACGAAUCCGGAACCUGUUGAAUGAACAAUAAAUCGCAAUUUAUACAACAAAGUUAGAUUUUAGAAGCGAUUUUUUACCUUCAGAAACCAUGCAAGUCUCAAAUUGGAUAGCGAAUUUUGUGUGGUAGGUAAUGCAUUAAUCUUUGCCAGAUCAAUUUGAGAAGUUAUGACUUCCCUUUCAACGUCUGCCGUCAAAAACAAUCAACGGCGCGUAGCUCUUUAUGACCUAGAAAUCCAUCAUGCGGCAAUCAAAUAAUAUUUUCUACACACUUUUUUUCUUCCAAAAUAUUAUUUGUUAAUCUCUUUACUCACUGUUGCAGAGUGUAGAGUUCCACGAACAAACAAAGUGGAAACCCAUCUCUCGCACGUGUUGAUUUACGCGGAUGUGCACGUGCUCAAUUAGCUGUUUCAUCACUGUAUAGUGAAUUUGACGAUCGAACAUUAUAGUUCAGUAUUGUGACGCAGCAACGGCCACAUUCCAAAAUGAGAUAUGCUCAAUUAUUGAUAUGUAAACACACUCGAAAAUAAUUUGAAUAAAGUAAUAAGACAGAGACAUUUUUCUUUUUAUAAAAGCAAGAGGGAGACUACACAGUUUAAUUUGUCUGUUUUGAUUGGACUUUAGUUACAAAGUAAAAUUCAAGGUUCAGUAAAAAUAAAAAGUAAUUAUUUCAUACCAAAUUAAUACUUAUAAAACACUUAAUGAAGAAUCUAAUUAACGCAGUCAAAAGAAAAGAAUAUAAUCUUUUCCGAUGAAAAUAUCUUUCUAUUUAACACUUUUAGUUAUUAUUUUAUUAUUAAUAUAUUUAUUUCAUGAAUAUUAAAAAAAAUCCAUUGCAAUAAUAUAUUUGUGUGUGUAAAUAAUACACCAAACAACUUGUUAACCUUAAUUGAAGAUUUUAAAAGUGUUUCAAACAAUGAGAACCCAUUAUUAAAAAAUCCGAUGUGAAAUUUCUUCUAAAAUCCACGUUUAUGUAGUGACUCUAGUUGUCUUAUUUUACAAAAAACCUUGGUCUUCUUUUAUUUAAAAUUUCAAAACCACGUGCCCCCGUUCAAUGAUUUAGGUCAAAACUUAACAAGUCGUAAAUGGACCACAUCAAGGGCGCAAACGACCCCAACAAAUUUAUUGCAGAUAUUAAAAAAUAUAAUAGUUGUAAUGUUAAUUCUUUGUACCUACAAUAAGUGAAAAGAUAAGUAAAGAAUGUUUUAGUUUUGUUUUUUUUUUUAUAUAAAAGGUUUCAUGUAUAGUAUUACUAUGUAACUUGACAUCUUAACUAAGCUGACACUCCAAAUAACAACAAUCAUUUGUCAUCACAUGAAAAAAAAUAUUAUUAACAAAAAAAGAAAAAGAAAGAAAAUACAAAAUAAAAUAAAAUAAGGAGAUUAGAUCAAAAUCCAUAUGUUAACAAAAAUAAUACAUACGUAAUAUAUACCUAUGCAUAAAAAAACUAUAAGAAUAGACUGAUGAAAGCCUAUUUACCAAUGAAAUGAGUAUUUAUAAAUAAAUCAUAUGUUAGCCAGUUUAUCUGCACAUACAUUCCCUUCACGAAAAAAUAUGAGUAACCCUAAACUUUAUUUUCCCAUAGUAAUUAAGACAAGUGUUUCACCGAUCACGAAGUAUCCACUAGUCCUAGUAGUAAAUGCACCACUAACCAAGGAAAAAUCACAUUCAAGUCAUACAUUAGUAAGACUCAUCUUUUGAGCUUCUUCGUAAGAUAUUUAACAUCAUAAAACUCAUCAACCAAAACGUCUGAACGUCAAUAAACGCAGAAAAAUCACCAAUAAACUCCUCCAUGCUCCCGCGGAAAAUACCUCCACAAGUAGCAAGAUCAGGGUAACCCCUAGUCAUACCAUCAGUGUUAAUUUUAACCCAGCUUGGUGAAGGAAACUCUCAUUUCAUAGGAAGAUGAUGAAAAAUUUUACCAUUACGAAUAUUAAUACCAAAAAACUUAGUCGCGUUGAAAUCUAACAUAUCAUUUUUUAUUAAAUUUUUAAUGACUGAAAUAGUCCGAGAAACAACAAUCUUAUCCUGAAAUCUAGUAUAAUUCAUCAUAUGUCAUAUCAUCCAAAUAGAAAAAGUGAUCACAACAAGCUUAAUUAAUUUAACAAAAGGACUAGUAUCACUCUUAAUAAAAUAAAAUAAAAACAUCAUUAUUAGAAUUAAUAAAAAUCUAUCAAAUCCAACUCCAAAUAUGUAAAGAAAAAAAAUGUUUUAGUAUGAUAUAAUUAUAUAUUUUUUAAAUUGAGCACAAAUCUUAUACAAAAUCUAUUUAUUUUAAAACAUACGAAGUAUAAUUCAUCUUUUUCUUACAAUUUAAAAAAAAAAACUCUUAUAAUUAAUUUAACAUUUUUAUUAUAAAUAAAAUAAAAGUGAUACUAACCAACACAUUAUUUUAUUGAUUAAAAUUAUUGUAAAGUAUAAAAUUAGUAGAAAAAUACGUUAAAUAACAUGUGGAUCAACAAAUUUUUACGAUUUAUAAUAAAUUUUAAUUGAUAAAAAUAAUAUACUAUUAAAAAGAUACUCCUAUGUUUAUUGUAUUUCUCGUUUCUUAUUUCAAAAAAAAAAAAGCGAUUACAGCAAGUCUAUGUGUUAGACGAAGAAAAUGACACUAAAUCAGCUGCAAGUUGUUUCACACUACCUACUUGGUGACCCAAAGAAUCUCCCCAUGCCACCGCACCUUUUUUUUUAUAACAAGGGUUGAAUAAAUUUGGUUACUCGUUCUACAAUUAGAUAUGUUACGUUGGUUUAAGAAGUAUUCUUAUUUAAUCCUAUAAAUAUAUAUAAGUAUAUAUAACUUUUUAGUUUUCUAAAUUAGGAACAUUAUUUCUUUCUCCUCCAAUUAAAAGGUUUUUUAUUUAACUUUUUAAUUUUACAAAAUAGUAUUUUUAGUCUCUAGAGUUAAACUAUACUAGUGCAUUGAUAAAAUGGUAAUGGAUUACUAAUAUCAUUUAUCAGGUUGAUUUAAGUGAUUGACAUCAUAUUUUGGAAGUUAAUUAAAUACUUAAAUAUAUUUUUAGUCAUAUAUCUCAAGAUAUUGUUCUUUUAGCCUUUUAAUUGAAAAAUUUUAAAUUUUAUUUUUUAUUAUACAAAAUAUUAUUUUUAGUCUUCAAUAUGUUAUAGAAUUCUAAUAUAAAAAGACAAUAAUUCUAACAUUGUUGUACCACACCUCAUGACACUUUUUCACCAUACUCAUUAUGGUCGCAAUGUCACAAAAAAGUGAAAUAGAAUCAUCAAUAGCAAGUAUCAAGUAAAACUCCUUCAACUUAUUCUAAAUGAGUGUUGUCCCUUUUCGUUGAAAAUGUUGAUUGAGAGGGAAAAUUAAGAAAUGAAAAUCACUCCUUACCAAAAAUCAAGUUAUUUCAACUAUGACUAAAAUAACAUCUUUCUAAAUAACAUGACAGUUAAUAAACUUUAUAGGUAAUAUCAACAUUACUUACCUUACUUACCUCGUCAAACCUCAAUUACUAAAAACAUGUUUAAUUAUUUGAUAAAAUUUCAACAAUAUAUAUCACUUAAUUAAAUCUACACUUGUAAAUAUUGAGUUGACCAUCAAUAACACAUUGUCUAUUUCUAGGAAUUAAAAAUAAUAUUUUUGCAAAAUUUAAUUCCUAUAAAAUAAAAAAUUUAAUUAAAAAAUUAUCCUCAGUUUGGGGUUAUAAAAACAUACUUAUGUGACUUACGUUUCUUAGCCUAAACAAACAGCUGUUUUUUAUUUGCCGAGUCACAUUACUGGUUUUGUUUGACCAAACCCUUUCUCAGUUACCCACCUUUCUUGACACAAUCAAUCAUUAAUAAACUAAUAAAAAAAGAGUAAUAAGAAGUUCCACCCUUAUCCUUCGUCAACAAUUCAAGGUAGUAUAUAAAUAGAGUCCAUGGAUUAAAACAAAACACAAAACACAGAAUACCAAAUAUCAAAAUCCAACUCCUUGAGCUUCUGGUGAUCUUUCUUUCACAAACUGUGGUUAUGGAGAAACAACUAAAACUUAGGAACAAAAUCUUGAAGGCACUACCAAAAGCAGUUGCAGCAGUGACCAUGACAUUUCAAAACCCUCCGUUCAGCCCAGGAAGGGACCAUAAAUCAAAACCUAUGGUGUCCAUGAUACCCCAUGAAGCUAGAAGAAAAACCCACGAUAGAAACGGCAUCAAUGGAAUUUAUUCUCAGGAACCCACUUCACCGAAAAUCUCCUGCAUGGGACAGAUCAAGCACAAGAAGAAACAGAUAAAAAAAGCCAAGACUAAGAGCGUGAUGACCAGGCCAAAAGAAGCCACGAACGUUGCUCGCAACAAAUCAUCGUCUGCUUCAAGAGACGCAGAGGUAAAGAAGCACGCUUCAACGUUUCAAAAGAUGUUGCUAUUCCACGCGGCGAAGCCGAAAUCUGAGGGAAGGAAAUCCAAUGCUUCUGCUCCGGGAGAUAUUAGUGAUGGGAAUCAUGCUCUCGGUGACGCAGCACGUGCACCGCACGUGAGUCAGGUGAGAAGGUUUUCAAGUGGACGUGACGCUCUUGCUAGUUUUGAUUGGAAGGUGGCUCAGGUGGCGCCAGAUGAAGCGGAGAUUGAUUACUAUUCCGAUGAUUACAGAGUGGAGAGUAGUGAUGGUGAAGAAGAGGAGGAAGAGGUUAUGAUCCCUUUUUCAGCACCCAUUUUGGUGGGUGGUGGAGUUGGUGUGCUUAAUUUGAAGCCACGGAAAGAAAUUAACCUGUGGAAGAGAAGAACCAUGGCUCCACCUAUGCCUCUUCAAUUGCACGGGACAAACUGAUUGAUUUCCUCGUCACAACAAUGAAUGAAGAUUGAUUUGUUCUUUCCAUUUUUUUUAGCGGCUCUGUUUUGGCAUUCAAACACUUUGUGUGAAGAUAAAUAGUUAGUUACAGCCAAAUAAUGUAAUUGGCAGAGGUUGUGGUAGACAAAGUAUAUGCAGUGUACAAAUAUAUGGCAUCAAAAUUUAUGAUAUUUACUCCAAUCCAAUCUAAAGUAUCUCAAGUAUAGAUGUAACGUUAUAAUGUUACCAAACUAAUCAUUUUUCAAUAUUUUUAUUAACUAGUGAAUUUUAAGUUUAACUCAAUCUCAUGCACUUAUAAAGUAAAAUUUAUACCCACUUAUAUAGAUACUAUAAAAGACUCAUAUAAAAGAUACUAUAAAAAAAACUCUAAUCUUUAUAGGAUUUCAACAAUUUUUUUUAUAAACUAUUCUACAAUUCCUUUUAAUGAUAAAGUAUUACAUUUUAAUGAUGUAAAUAAAUUAAAUAAAAUUGAAAUAAAAUAAUGAUAUUAUAUAUAUAUAUAUAUAUAUAUAAUUGUUGGAUAAAUGAAUAAAUAAAAUAUGGAAGUGUCAUCCUUGAUGUUGAUUAAGGUAAUUGGGGUUUUGUGCUUAAAGAUAACAAAAAGAAGAUAGUAUACACUUCAUUUAUUCCUUCUAUCUUAAACACAACAUUAUAAUUGUGGAGAAAAAAAUCAAAUAAUUAAAAAAAUAUAACUAAUAAAUUAGAUAUGGAAUGUAUAUUUAUUUUAUUUUUCAAAUAUUUAAAAUCAAGAUUUUUUUACAAUAUUUGUGGAUAUGAAUUAUAAUAGUCUGUUUGAGCUUAUUAAAUAUAUUUUUAGCUAGUUUUAAUAUAUGUCAAUUAACUUCAUUAAGGUAUAUUUUUAGUAGUCUAUUAGCUCGGGUUUUUUUUUUAUUGAAACAUCAUCCAUUUAUUUUCUAUCUCGAUUUUAUUGACUUUACUCUAUUUAAUCAUUGUUUACCUCUACUAGGUAAUGACCAAUUCAACCUCUAAUGGGUCAUUGUUAGUUUAAUCUCAACUAAGACAUUAUUAACUCAAUAUCACUCAUCAAUUUGAUAUCAUUUACACAAUUACCAACAUAACCUCAAUUAUUAUAUGGUCAACUCAACCUCAAUUGAGGCCAUUCUAUAUCCUCGAUAUUGAUUAAAAAAAUCAAAAUUAAUCUUAAAAAACUUAUAUUAAGUCUUAAUUAGAUAUUUUUUAUUGAGCUCAAUGAAAAGAUAUGUUAGUCAAUUAUCUUUUAGAAAAUUGUAAACUCCUCUCUAAUUUAAAGUAUCAUCCCUUUAGUCUUACUAAAAUAUUCUUACUAGAAUUUUUAACAUUUGUUUUCAAAUUAGUUUAUUAUAUUUUAAAAUCAGUUUUUGAUUUACAGUUUAAAAUCAAUCUUGAUUUUAUAAAAAAACAUUUUAAAACCAAAUUUUAAACUAUUUUUUAAAAUUGAAAACAGUUUUGUCCAAUUAAAUAUCGAACCAUUUAAUUGGAUUUUGUGUCCUCCCCUCUGCAACAUAAAUAUCGCCAUAGUUGAACGACCGGUUAGAAAAACUUCCCACGGGCCACAUUAGAAUUUAGGGGAAAAAGACUUUAACUAGGCCAAGCCCAUAACUAUUCCUUUAGACGAUAGAGGAUUUAUUUUUGCAUUUUUAUAUUUUCGUUCUGAUCCAUAAAUAUGAAAAUUCCUAUUUUUUCUCAUAGUUUAUAAAAAUUAUUUCUGAAGUUAUAAUUUGAAAUUUAUUUUUUAUUUUCAAAUUUCAUAAUCUAAAAGUAAUCUUUAUGAAUAAAGUAAUCUAAAAGUAAUCACACAAUUUAAAAGUAUUUUUUCACAAUUUUUUUUAAUAUACAAGUGUCUUCUAUAUUAUAAAAUCCAGAAAUAUUUUAUAAAAGAAUUAGUUAUAAAUAAUGUUGUUCCAUACAAAAAAAAUAUUGACUAUCUCAUAUUCAAGAAAUAAGAAUAAGUAUAUUCUUAGUCGGUUGUGUAAUAUGUUUUUUUUCUUUGUGUAUUUCUAUACAUAUAUUGAUAUCUCUUCUUUAUUUAAUUUUGUUAUUGGUCUAUUUCAAGAAUAAAGACUAAUUAUUCCAUAUUUAUUGAUUUGUGCUAACACAAGAAUUAAUACUUUCAAUAUUGUGAAUUAACACCUUUAAAUAUCAGUAUUGGAAGGGAACUCAUUCACAUGUUAUUUUAAAAAAAAUUAAAUUAUAUAAUCUGAAAAACUUUUAAAUAUAUAAUCUGAUUAUUAAUAACGGGAAAAACUUUCAUCAUGCGACCUCUUCUAAACAAAGAAAGUGUGAAAGUGUAAAAAAAUAUAUAUCUGAAAGAAGACGUGAUGGCGGCAAUAAAAGACAAGGAAGGAACUACAACGUUAACAUAUGAGAAGAUGACAGAGUAAAGAUUUUUGUGUGUCUAUUAUAGAACCCAUAAUAAUGCAGAAAGAAACCAUGUGGUGUAAGAAGAAAUACCAUAUCCGAUGAGAUUUUUCUGUUUUACGUUUCAAUCUUGAUGAUCCCAAAGUAUCAUAAUUAUUUCUAUAUUCCCUGUAUACAAAAAUUUAAGCCCAAUUUUUUUUAAGACCUCUUACUCUUUAAUUGAACUGUGAGAUGUCUCUGAUGAUAUGUAUGUUUUAUAUUGUUACUUUUUAAGAUAAAAAAAACUCUACAUUAUUUUUAAGGGUUCAACUUCACUAAUUCAAAUAUCUCAAAAAAAAAUCACUAUAUCAAAGCAUACACUUUUUCUUUUAUGCUACUGACGUGGUGGUUAUAUAUUUGGGUUGCAUUUGAUAUGCGGUUAUUUAAAUUACUUAAAUAUAGAUAUUUUUUAGAUUAAACCUUUUUUUAAAAAAAUUACCUACAUAAAUUCUUUUCAGUAUUGUUUAUCAAACUAAACUUAUUUACUGUUUAUAUAUUGAAAAUCUAGUUUUUGGAGAGUAAAAUUCUUAAUGGUAAACCGUAGUACCUACUUUUUCUUCUAUUUUGUUUAAAAGAAUUAAAAAAAGUCCAGUUAGAAUUCGACUUAUGAGUUACCAAAUCUUGAUCAGUUUUCCUGCAUAUGGAGAAUUGAACACGCGAACAAUAAACAACUCUUACAACUAUAGUUUGAGAAUUAAAAUGAAGAUGCAUUUAUUUGGAUAAUUUUUUUAAAUGAGUUUAUUUUGGGAAAAAAUCAAUUGUAAAUGGUAUAAUUAAUUUUUUUUUGAAUUUGUUUCUUUAAAUAUUAAUUAUUUAAUAAAAAUAAGUAAGAUAACGAAAAUAGCGAGCGUCUCAACAUUAUUCAAAUUUCAAAAUUUAAAAAAAUUAAUGUAGAAGACUGAAAUUAACAUAAAUACCUAAUUUAAAAUUUUAACAUAAUAAAUUUUAAAUUAUGCCUAAAUUAUAAAAUGAUAAUUAAAAUAUUAUAGUUCCAAUCUCAUUUAAACAUAAAUAUUUAUACUGAGAUAUUAAUAAUUCAUAAUAAGAAAUUUUUUUAUUAAAAUUAAAUAUUGUUCUAGCCAAAAUAGAUGACCCUUGACUAGAGUAUUAAAGAUAAUAAAAAAAGUGGUCUCCAAUUUAGUUGUGUUCCUUAUUGCUCGGUCUCCCUUCUUUCUUAUAGAAAUCAUCUUCCAUGUUAUUCUUUGUACAUGUUCUCUUUCCUGACUUAAUUCCUUCAUAAAUUCCUGUACCCCUACCUUCGCUAACUACGCACUUUGUCCUUUAUGAAGAUUUUGAGGAUAUUGUCAUUAAUCUCUCGGAUUGGAAUGUUACAAUAUAUUAACUGGGUCGGCUCAUGACCUCACAACCCCUCAACCUCAAGCAUGAGCCAAUGAAGCUUAACAAGCCUCCAACAUGUCCUUCUUACCCUUAGCAUGAUCGACCCAUACUUCCCUCAACAUUAUCUGAAUCAGCCCUAGACCUCAUAGCCCCUUAGCCUUAGGCAUAAACCAAUUAGGCUUAAUGAGUUUUCGACAUCUACCUUCCUUAUCGCCCAUGCAGCAAGAUCGGCUCAUGAUGGUACAAAUAAACUCAGGCUUUCUUAUGCGAGAACUUCUUGAUUUUCGCACCCCAUUAUUACCUCUGAACACACAUCUCAUCGACCAUUUAAUGUCGCCGCCUCCAUCCACGUGUUUACCCUUGAUUUGUUGAUUUGAAUCGGUUCACUGUUUGUUACUCUUCCCUAUUUUUGUCCCUCCAUCUUCCCGCUUUCCUCCUCCAUUGUUAACCUUUCAGCUUCUCCUUCUCAUUCACCUCACACUUCACUUCUCUUUACUCUGAAACCAAAACGCUCCCAGGUACGCAUUGCUUUUAGUCCCUUGCAUAUUUGUGUGUGUUUGUCUUGACAUUGCCUUCGCAUAUUACUGGACUCCAUUUUUCGUCGCGUCCAUUUGAAUCCUUCAUAAUGGACUAUAACUCUGUUUAUCCAUGGGCCAAACACGUUGUUCUUCACGAUUUUUCCAUUUUUACCUCUGCUAAACGAAUCGAGCGCCUUCUUCAUGCCCAUGCUUUAAGUCAUUCCGGUGCCAAAACGCAUGUUGUUAUCCCUUGCUCUUCUGAUGAACCUAUUUGUAAAGAUUGCCGAGAUGAGGAACCAUUCUUUUUCUUUUACGAAACCUUCUUCACCAAGCUUGGUGUUCGUCUCCCGUUAUCACUUCAAAAAAGACGUUAUAAACAUCAUAAACGUUGCCCUGACUCAACUUCAUCCCAAUAGUUGGGUCUUCAUCCGAGCUUUCCAAAUCCUCUGUGUUUAUUUUGACAUUACCCCAAUGACAAAUAUCUUUUUCUAUUUUUUCGAGUUUAGACCUUCUAAAUAGAACCUCGUGGGCCUCCCUUAAUGGUGUCUAUGGCCGUGGCCUUCUUUCACUAUUCCAAUCUUCCUACAAAACCUUCAAAGGCAAGUCCAUCAAAGUCCUAAAAGGUCUCCCUGACUCGGACCUAUUAGAUGGAUUUCUCCAGUAUUGGUCCUUUCAACCCCAAUGUUAAUCUUCCUGCUCCCCUGACGAUCUAGAAAGUAACGAAUUAGAUGAUUACAUAACACUAGAUGAGUUGGGCACCAUAUUUGAAACCUCCGUUCUUCUAAAGCUCAACCUACUGAUAUUAAAGUCUACAUCGGUACCUAUGCCCUCCACUUAUCUUUUCUUUUUCUCUUUAUACUGAGACUAACCUUAUCUUUCAUGCAAAGAAUACCAUGUCGUUGAGUAGAGCUGAAAUGGAGCGCCACACAAAGAACAAAGAAAAAGUCGUCGCCAUCACCAUCGACUUAAAGAAAACCACCACCAUUCCACUGCAAUGAACGCACCUGGAUCGUGUUCUCCCAAAACCCGAAUGCGUGGUGUUGGAGCUAGAGCAUUCUUCUCACCAGCACUCAACUUCUGGUGGCCAAUCAUAUCAUGUGGGAAACCAUCCUGUGUUGCCUCAUCCAAAAUGUUCUGGCCUCAACCAGGACAUGUAGUUGAGGUCGGUUAAACUCCAAGAUGGUCAUCAUAUUGUAAACUUGCUAGCUUCAUGAAUUGGCUCCAAGGAAAUGAGGGGGUUCCACCUGCAGAAGAUACUCCCACACUCAAUUUAGUAAGAGCAUAAAAUAUAGUGAGUAUAAUGUAAAAUGUGAGUUGAAAUUACUCCCUAUGAGUUGGACUUACUCCCUAAGAGUUGGUUUUCCCCUUGUCUCAGUUCUAGUCGUUUCUUAUUUGUUGUCUUUUAUUAGGUCAUCUUUUUUCCCUUAUAUAGGAUAGUGCUCUCCCCCCUUCUCCUUGUAUCUGGUCUUGUUUUUGUUGAACCAAGUGUAUUCAAGCUUUGAAGAAUCCAAACCCUUUGAAGGUUGAUGAAAGGUUGGAUGUGCUUGCUGUUGCUGAGCUGUCUUUAGAUAGGAUCUGGGGUAGAUUAAUUGUAUAUAUCCACUCUUGAUUGAAUCCAAAUCAUAAGCAUUCUCAAACCUUUUAAUUGAAAAGUGUUUUUCAAACUAAGUGAAAAACAACCUAUUGUUUUGUUGAAACAACCGAUUGUUUUAUACUUAGGUGUUUUUAGAAAGGUUCAAAACUGUUUUUGAUGGUUGACUUGCUGUCAAACCAAAACAACCGAUUGAUUCGUGGAAAGAACCGAUUGUUUGUUUUGGGACCAUAACAGAAAACUGUUGUGUGCUUUGACUGAGCAUUAAAUGUUUUUCUAACUGUUUACGCUCCAGUUUUAAAUGCUUUGACCAAUCUUUAAUUGCAAUAAAUAGUUUGUUCAGAUUAUGCAACAAAAAAACUUUGCUUUAAUCAUAGAAAAACAGAUUUGAUUUUUUCACUGAAUGAGCUUUUUGAAAAGUUGAGAAUUGCUUAGAGAUUGCAUUGAUCAAAGAGUGUGAGAUAAGAUUUUCAUGUUGUAUUGAUUUCAGAUCUUUUCUGUAACAAGUGUAAUCCUUUGUACUUUGAAAGAAACUAUGUGUGUAUAGCUGAGAAGUGUUGUGUGUUCUUGAGGGGAUCAAGAUCAACAUUCUUAGUGGUGUUGUAUUGGACCAAAGGAAGUGUGUGUCUUGAGGGGAUCAAGGUCACUUCUUUGGUUGUGUUGUAAGUAAUCUGGGUUGAUUGCUUAGUGGAUUCCCCAGUGGUUUCUGGGAAGACUGGAUGUAGCUCUUGGUUAAGAGUGAACCAGUAUAAAUCUCUGUGUGCAUUCUCUCUAUCCUUAAACUCUUUAAUCUCAGUUUUAUAUUUGUGAACUGGUAUAAACAACCGAAUGUUUCUGCGAAACAACCGAUUGUUUUUCUGGUGCUGUGCUUAUUUGCUUUUUGUUUUGACAAACUGAAUUCUGAUUCAAGUGUUUCUCUAAGUAAUUUCAUUUUAGGCUUAAAAGUUUGCGAAAACCCUCUUUAAACCAUUCACCCCCCCUCUAGUUUAAAGCCAUACAUUUUAACAAUUGGUAUCAGAGCUUGGUUCUUUAAAUUUAUUCAAGUGUGAUCCUAAAACUAUUUUUUAAUGGCUGAUAGACUACCUUUUGGGGAAGGUGCUUCAAUCAACAAACCACCUUUGCUUUGUGGUUUGAACUACCAAUUUUGGAAAGUCAGAAUGAAAAUCUUUGUGGAAUCACUUGACCAAGGUAUUUGGGAUGCAAUUGAAAAUGGUCCUUUUGUCCCAAAAUUUGAAAAAGAUGGAUCUUCCAUUGAAAAGCCUUAGUCUCAAUGGACUGAUUCUGAAAGCAAGAAGACCAAAUUUGAUUGCAUUGCUAAAAACAUAAUAACUUCUGCCUUAAAUUCAGAUGAGUUUUUCAGGGUCUCUCAAUGCAAAUCAACAAAGUAAAUGUGGGACACCUUGGAGGUAACUCAUGAAGGUACCAAUGAGGUGAAAAGAGCUAGAAAGCACACUCUAAUCCAAGAGUAUGAAAUGUUUAGAAUGCUCAAGGGUGAGACAAUUCCUGAAGUCCAAAAAAGAUUCACGCACAUCAUCAAUCAUCUCAUGAGCCUUGACAAGACCUUGGAAAAGGAAGAGCUAAACAUCAAGAUUCUCAAAUGUCUUGAUAGAGCUUGGCAACCUAAGGUAACCGAAAUAUCUGAAUCUAAAGAUCUAACAUCAUUGAGUAUGACUACUUUGUUUGGCAAGCUUAGGAAACAUGAGUUAGAGAUGAAUCAACUCAAUGUUCAAGAAAGCGAAGACAAGCAUGUAAGGAGUAUUGCCUUAAAAGUUGUCAAGCACAAAGGCAAGCAAGAAUCCAGUGAUGAUAGUGAUGAAGAGAACCUUAGUUUGCUAUCCAUAAAGUUUAGCAAAUUCUUGAAAAGGAACCGCAACAAAUACAACAACAAAGAAAGGUAAGAAAACAAAAAAUCCAAUGAUUUUAAUUCCAAUAACUAUACUUGUUUUGGUUGUGGUGAGCAAGGGCACAUAAAGGCAGAUUGCCCAAACAAAGAAAGCAAGGAGAAGAAGUCAAGCUACAAAGAAAAGAAAGGAAAGACUAAAAGGGCCUACAUAGCUUGGGAUGAGAAUGAAGUAUCCUCAUCAAGCUCAUCAUCUAGCAAAGAAGAAAGGGCAAAUAUAUGCUUGAUUGCUGAAGGAGAUGAUGAGUCUUGCAGCUCAAGUGAAGUAAGUUCAUGUGCUUCUUUAAAUGAACAAAAUUAUAGUGAAUUGCUUGAAGCUUUUCAAGAAACACAUGAUGAAGCUAAUCGAUUGGUUCUUUCAAAAUAACCGAUUGAAAGAACUUAACAGCUGACUUGAAAAGAGAGUGAAGGCACUUGAAGAAGAGCUGGAAAAUUCAAAAAAGGAUUUUAAAAAUCUGGAAAAUCAUUGCAAAAACUCUUCUUGCAAAUGUGACACUUUCAUUUGUGAAAAUUGUGAAAACCUUGAAAAGAAAGUGCAUUAUCUUGUUAAUACUGUGGAUAAGCUUUCGAAAGGAAAAUCUAACUUUGAGAAUGUCUUGGCAUCUCAAAACUGUGUUUUUGGAAAAGCUGGCUUAGGUUUUAAUAUACUAAACAAACAAGAUAAGUUUUCAAAUUUUUUUUAAGAAAGCCAGUAAAACAACCGAUUGUUAAGUCGAAACAACCGGUUGUUACAUGCUUUUACUGCAUGAAGAAAGGUCAUUCGGUUAGAUUAUGAAAAAUAAGAAAGUUUUCAGUUCCCAGAGGCUUCAUGAAAUGGAUUCCUAAAGGUUGUGAGGUUUCAAAUGAGAAAAAGAAACCAAAUGGACCCACAUUUGUAAGGAGACCAAACCUUGUUGCUUGAAUUCAUGUUUAUGCAGGAAAUCUAGAGAAAUAUGAGGGACUGAGUCAUCUGAUCAAGUUCUUGGAAGAAAAAGAUUAACAUUGAAGCUGAAUCAAUGUUCUGUAUCUGUCCAAAGGCUCUCAAUGGUCAAAAGAGGCUUCUUGAUCAAAAACAAAUGGCUCAUUGAAGGAACAUCAUAAAGGAUAAGACCUUCCUUAUCUCUAUCUUUAAUUCCUGUUUAAUUUCAUAUUCAUGCUUAAAUAUCUCUUUUAAAAAUGUUCAAAUACAUCUGCUUUGAAUCCUUUCUGCUCAUGAUUAAAAAUUCAAAAUCAGUUUUUACUGUUGUAGAAAAACAACCGUUUGUUUCCUUGAAACAACCGAUUGUUUUGUGUCUGACAACACUGUGAAAAGAAUGGAUUUAAUUCUUUUUGAAUUUCUGUCUGUUGCAUAUCACAUUUAUGAAAGAAUCCUUGGUCAAUGAAGCUGUGUUGAAAGCUGAUCACGUUCAGAAAGAAGUUACAACAACUCAUAAAGGAAUAUAUUCAAAAAUCUUGAAAAUUUAAGAGCUUUUAUGACUAGUCAAAGAUCACAUGUGAUGACCAUGUGAUUUUCUGCUUUCUCUGACGUUUUCUGUGCAGGUCUUGGCCAAGUCUUUUGUUUUUGCUUUAAAAUCUGUUGCGACUGUUUUCUCUCACAAGAACAACCAAUUGAGCCAUCUCUUGCAACAUCUCUUGCUCUUCUUGUGUGAGUUUUCUCUGCUUCUUUUUUCCGCUGUCAUGGAAUCAACUCCCCCCACUUCAAAGAGAGUUAAAACCAGAGCAGUGAGGUCUGGAGGGAGAUUAGAAGGCUGGUUUUCUAGAGACAAUGACCUCAUUGAAAGGUAUAGGUUUGAAACUAGCACAAAGGUGAUAAAAAUCCCCAAAGUUGUUUCCUUUGAUUGGCUGAAAAGCCAAAAGCUAGAUAAUGUGAGGAGGCUGCUCAAAGAUCAAUCUCUCAGAAAGUUCUUGGAGAUGAAGGGGAACAUCUACCCAGAUUUGAUUAGGGUGUUCUACACCAAUCUCAAGUUUGAGGGAAACAACCUUGUCUCUCAUGUGAAGGGAGUUGAUAUGGAGAUCACCUAUGAUGUGUGGACUGCAGUUGCAGGUCUGAAGUAUGCUGUCCUUAGAAUCAACAAGGGAAACCUUGGAGUAGUAGAGGAUUUCAACAAAGUCCAAUACUACAAGAGUUGCUUGAAGAAUCAAAAUGCUCAAGUAAGGACUUGUUCGGUUGGAGGCUUAAGGCUUGAUGAAAGGUUGUUGACCCUUAUUGUAACUUGGAUUCUUACUCCAAGGGGGAACAAUCAUUUUGUCCUUACAGAAGAAGACCUUGUGUACAUCUACUGCAUUAUGAAGAAAAUCAGAAUCAAUUGGAUCCACAUCAUCAAGGAACACAUGCAAAAGGCCAUGAGGUUAAGUGAUUAUCACUAUCCAUAUGCUAUUUUGAUUUCUAAAUUUUUGCUGUAUUUUGAAGUGAAUCGGGAAGAUGAGACAUCUGAUUUGGUUAAGUCAACUCAAGAGAUGAACAAUGGCUCUCUUAGCAAGAUGGGAUUCACCAAAAUAGGUGGCAAAUGGGUGAGUAAAGAUGGUGACCAUGGUGCCUCAUCAAGUGCUGCUGCUGAUCUUGAUGAAGAAGAGCAUGUUGUUGACAUGGAUUUUCACCAUGAAGAGCAACCUGAAACAAAUCAAGGUGCUGGAACCAGUGCAGGGAAUUAGGGAGAUGAAAUGCCAUCCAUGUCUUCUUUUGAAAGAUACAUGGUCAAUAGGCUUGAUGAAUUUGCUGAGAAUCAAAGAAAUCUUCAUGAUUUGUGUGUAAGCAACUUCCAGAACAUUGAUAACAGGUUCAACAGCAUGGAUGCACGCUUCAUGACACUGGAUGAACAGAUAGAAGUUGUUCAGAAUCAGAUUUUUGAUCUACAAUAUGGCAAAGAUGACUAAAGAAGGAAAAACAACCGAUUGAUGUCACAGAACAACCGAUUGUUUUUUGAGCUUGUAUCAGUAUUUCUGCUUCUGCUCUUUAAUUUUGUAUUAUCUGAAACAAUUAUCUAUUUAUCUCUUCUUUUUGUCUAUUUGUGAAGACAAAUAGGGGGAGAUUUAUGUUGUGUGUUGUUUUCGUUAUCCUUUAUUUCUGUAAAACUCUAUAAUGUGUUUGGAUGUUUAAGUAAGCCUUAUAUUUCUGCUGUUCAAGUGUGUUCAACCAAGUGUGUUCAAGCUUUGAAGAAUCCAAACCCUUUGAAGGUUGAUGAAAGGCUGGAUGUGCUUGAUGUUGUUGAGCUAUCUUUAGAUAGGAUUUGGGUUAGAUUAAUUAUAUAUAUCCACUCUUGAUUGAAUCCAAAGCAUAAGCAUUCUCAAACCUUUUAAUUGAAAAGUUUUUCAAACUAAGUGAAAAACAACCUGUUAUUUUGUCGAAACAACCGAUUGUUUUAUACUUGGGUGUUUUUAGAAAGGUUGAAAACUGUUUUUGAUGGUUGACUUGCAGUCAAACCAAAACAACCGAUUGAUUCGUGGAAACAACUGAUUGUUUGUUUUGGGACCAUAACAGAAAACUGUUGUGUGCUUUGACUGAGCAUUAAAUGUUUUUCUAACUGUUUACACUCCAGUUUUAAAUGCUUUGACCAAUCUUUAAUUGCAAUAAAUAGUUUGUUCAGAUUAUGCAACAAAAAAACUUUGCUUUAAUCAUAGAAAAACAGAUUUGAGUUUUUCAUUGAAUGAGCUUUUUGAAAAGUUGAGAAUUGCUUAGAGAUUGCAUUGAUCAAAGAGUGUGAGAUAAGAUUUUCAUGUUGUAUUGAUUUCAGAUCUUUUCUGUAACAAGUGUAAUCCUUUGUACUUUGAAAGAAACUCUGUGUGUAUAGCUGAGAAGUGUUGUGUGUUCUUGAGGGGAUCAAGAUCAACAUUCUUAGUGGUGUUGUACUGAACCAAAGGAAGUGUGUAUCUUGAGGGGAUCAAGGUCACUUCUUUGGUUGUGUUGUAAGUGAUCUAGGGUUGAUUGCUUAGUGGAUUCCCCAGUGGUUUCUGGGAAGACUGGAUGUAGCUCUUGGUUAAGAGUGAACCAGUAUAAAUCUCUGUGUGCAUUCUCUCUAUCCUUAAACUCUUUAAUCUCAGUUUUAUAUUUGUGAACUGGUAUAAACAACUGAUUGUUUUUCUGGUGUUAUGCUUAUUUGCUUUGUGUUUUGGCAAACUGAAUUCUGAUUCAAGUGUUUCUCGAAGUAAUUUCAUUAUAGGCUUAAAAGUUUGUGAAAACCCUCUUUAAACCAUUCACCCCCCCUCUAGUUUAAAGGCAUACAUUCUAACAGUUUUGAGUUAUAUUCCUAAAAUAAUUACAAUCUCGCAUAUACAGUCAAUCUCCAUAAUUAACGCCCUCCCCUCUUUAUGAGAAAUAAAUGAGAUCUUUUUCAUUAACUUUAGAGAUCGACAUUAAGACCAUUUUACCACAUGAUCGGGCUCGACCCAUGACCUCACAACCCCCUAGCCUCAGGCGUAAGCCAAUGAGGCUAAUAAGCUCAUAACCAUUAAAUUCAGAGAUCGGUAUCAGAUCCACUUUCACCCUAUUAUUGGGCUCGACCCAUGACCUCACAACCCCCCAGCCUCAGCAUAAGCCAAUGAGACUGAUAAGUUCGUAACAAUUAAAUUCAGAGAUCAGUAUUAGAUCCACUUUCACCCUGUGUGAACAUAGUUAAAUGACCUCACAACCCCCUAGUCUCGGACAUAAGCCAACGAGGUCGAUAAGUUUAUUGGUAUUGCUUGAUUCCACCUUUCAACUGACUUUUGAUAAUGGAUCAAACUUGGACUCGACACUUCUUUUACCUACAAUAGACAUAAUUUAAAACUUACAAACUGGAACAAGUGAGAUCGACAUUUCUUUCACAAACUGAACUGAGCGAGGUCAGCAUUUUCUUCACCUGAUAGGUUGGAAUUUCCUUCACCUACUAUAGGUAUAAUUUAAAUUUUACAAAUUGGAAUGAGAGAGAUCGAAAUUUUGUUCAUAAACUGUUCCGAGCAAGGUUGACAUUUCCUUCACCUGAUAGGUCGACAUUUCCUUACCUGCUAUAGAUAUGAUUUAAAACUUACAAUCUGGAAUGAGUGAGAUCAACAUUUCCUUCACAAACUGGAUCGAGUGAGGUCGGCAUUUCCUUUACCUGCUAUAGAUAUAAUUUAAUACUUACAAACUGGAAUGAGUGAGAUCGACAUUUCCUUCACAAAAUGGACCGAGCGAGGUCGACAUUUCCUUCACUUGCUAUACUAAGUCUACAGUUUAAAAAAUAGCUAGUCUGACAGGUCAUAUGAAUUUAUCCUGUCAUACGGGAGAACUUAAUUCUUAUGUUUAUGUAACACUUUGAAUAUAAUAUGACAUGUGCAAUUUUUUUAGUCAAAUUCAAGCAUGAGUCUUCCAUAAAUAUCAAGUAUUUAUGUAUACAUGUUACUUAGUUUUCUAUUAUAAGCAUAUCAAAUAUGAGUAUUUGUAGACACGAUUGUUUAGUACUUUGUAAUGGAUAAAAUGUGAUAAGUUAGAUGUUUGUGAUUGUAUAUUUAUUUAAAAUAUGUGAUAAUUGUAUGUUAUAAUUUUAAUAUUAGUAGAUAAAGUUUUUUUAAAAAACUUUUUUAGAUAAUAUAUACCUGAUGUAGUUUUUUAAAUAAAUGUAACUAGCGGUGUUAGAUUAGUUUUUCUCCUCGAAUGUUCUAUCUAAAAAUAUAUUUUAUUAUAAACAUUUCAAAUUCUUUUCAAAAAAUUAUCUUCUAAAAAUUUCCACAGAAACAAACAAUUAUAAAGAUUAAAUGAAAAAGAUUUCAGAUUAUUACUUUUCUUUAGUUUGCUGACAUCUAUAUCUCCAAUGGGUCUCCCAGUGAUAAUUCUUAAUGAUUAAUGCUUAAUGAUCAGUAAAUUACAAAAUGGAAAGGUAAAGAAUUAUUUUAAAUUAAGAUAAAGAUUUACAUGUUGUCAGUGGUGUAAGACCAGUUUAAAAUAUAACAUGGCAUGUUGCACUUUCAUUUUUAUUUUAAAAUUUUGGUGAUUAUUUUUUCCAUGUUUUUUUUAAAAAUUGGGCGAAUAAAACAGUUCUAACUAUUGGAGGUAUUUUAAAAUUCAUUACUUUUACGUAGACAACUUUGCUAUUACAAGAUUACCUCUAACAUAUAUGUUUUUAUAGCAUGCAUCAUGAGCUGUUAUGUUCCGCAGACUUUGCUUAUAUGCAUCUGCUAGCAGGUUUUAUUUUUUGCUGUUUACCAUUUGAAUUAAAGAAAUAUGGAUUCUUUAAAUAUGCUAUUGUAGGUCCCAUAACAGUACUAGCUAAAGUCUCCAUUUUUAUUAUUUGAAUAUAUUUCGAAAGAUUAACAUCUUCUUAAAAAGGAAGAUAAAUACUUCAUAAUAAAGCAUAAAAGGUUCUUUUUGACGCAAAAAAAAUAAUUAAACAUGACAUUAAAAUGGUUUUAUAAAAUCAAUUCAACGAGACAUAACGAUUCUGAAAUAUGUGUGAAUUUGUGAGUUUAACUAUAAAUUUAUUUAUGGUGAUUUCACGGCGGAUUAAUAGAUGAUAUGAUUCAUUCAAUAGAAUUUUGUUAAUAAGUUAAUUUCAACUCCAAUCUAAUUUUAUAAAAUUAAUUUAAACUCCAAUUCAAUUUUAUAAAAUUUAUUUAUAUUAUGAGAUUUGUAUCUGUUUUUCCUCAAACUCAAAGUUGGAAGUUUGGAGGUAGUCUCUAAGAUGAAUCUCUUGUAACUGCUGAGUGUUUAGAGAGAUCACAAUAAGAUGAUGGAAACUUCACCUGAUGAAAAUAGUUUAACCAUCAAGUCGGUAAAAGUAUAAAAUAUAUUUUAUAUAUGUAUAAUUACCUUAUUCGUCCCUAUAUUUUGAAGAAAUAUUCAAUUUAGUAUAGUGGUUUUAAAAAAAAUUAAUUUGAUCCCUAUGUUUUUUAAAAUGUAUGCAAAAUGGUCAUUUCUGUUAAGUCGUACCAAAUGGCGACAACUGAUGUUUAUGUGGCGUGGGAUUGAGAGAUAUGAGGUGUAAGGGAGAUUUGAUCAUGUGUACAAGGGCAACACCUGUUCAACCCCGUCGCCAUCAAGCGCCUUAGACAGGGUUCCAACAGGGUUUUGCGAGUUCGUGAACGAGACCCAAAUGCUCUCGCAACUUCGUCACCGCUACUGGUCUCACUCAUCUGUUACUGCUACGAUAACAAAGAGAUAAAUAUCUAACAUUUUCGAACCAUAAAAAAGAUAAAGUCACUCUAACUGAAAACAUGAAAUCAAAAACAAUUUGGGAAAGUAUAUAAAACAUAUCAGACCAGUUUCCAAUUCAAUAAACCCUAAAACCCAUUAACGUCUUGUCCAAAUAUGAUUCUCAAAUUCCAUUUUUCUUUACCAAACUUUGCAAGUUUUGUCCUAGUAAUUUAAUCUUGUGGCCUGAGAAUGUAUGCAGGGAUCCAUGGUGCAUGUGUUGCAGUGUCUCGAGACUCUAAAAACUCAUUUUUCUUAUAAUGUUGCACGAGAAAAUAUCCAAAGUUGUUCUAGAAAGAUGUGGGAUCAGUUAAAUCUAAUGUCCUCAGGGGAAAAACAAAAUGCUUAAUUGUUUGCAGGUGCAAAAUGUAGCUGAAAUUGGGUGUGACAGAUGCCAAGGUUUCUCGUCGGCGACGAUGCGGAGAAGUCGUGCCGCCAGCAGGGCUACUUUGUUAGAGCAUGGAACUCUAAAUUAAGAGAAGGUGGCGGUGGAACGAGAAAAGGAAGAAGGGGGAAUGUGAGGGUUUGAAUGCCAAAUUGGGAUGUGAUGGAGUGGUGGUGGUGGUAGUGGUGGCGACAUCGCGGGUGGAGGGGGGAGAGGAGGAGGAUCUGAGGCUUGAGGUCGCGGUGCACCACACCGUUGCGGUGGCAGAACCAGAGUGCGAAGACCUAUGUUUCAAGGGGAGAGAGAAGCGCUGAGGUAUCCUCCACAUCACAACUCUCAAUUCACCUUUCUCUGCUACAUAAGCAGCACUUGACGCGGUAAUGUGAGAUUUAACGGAAAUGAUCAAUUUGGGUACUGUUGGAGAUCCCACAUCGACUAGAGAUUAGGACAUUUCAUUGUAUAUAAGUGGGUGCAAACCUCACCCCAUGAGCCGGUUUUAUGGGGUUGAAUUGGACUUAACGUCCACUUUGUAAUAUGGUAUCAGAGCAAUUUUUCGAGCCUGUCCUAGCAAGUAUUUGUUGGGCUUAUCAGGCCACCCGCUAUCGGUCCGUGCACAAGCUGCUGUCACUCUCGGUUUGAGUAGAGAUUAAGACAUUUCAUUAUAUAAAACCUCAACCUUAUGAAACAAUUUUGUAGGCUUAAAGUCCACUUUGUAAUAGAUACUUUUAAAAAAAGACAAAAACCAAUUUGAUUUUUUUUAAAACCAUUAUACUAAAUUGAAUAUUAUCCAAAAAUGUAGGGACAAUUUUAUAGUGUCUUCCGAUUACCCUUUCAAAUAAUUAUACAAUACCUAUCACAGUUAAAAUUUAAAAUUAUACAUUUAUAAAAAAUAUAAACAUUUAAAAAAUCCCAUAAUAUUUUAUUUGCAGUGCUUUAGUGAAACAAAAUCAAAUAAACAAGGAUCCUGUAAUAUAAGCUUAAUUAUAAAAAUAAUUAAAAAAUAUAAAAUUGUCUUAUCAAAAUUUUACCGAAUCAAAUUACUCUUUCUCAGUUGAACAUCUAAACAACAUGAUCGAUUGUUCCGCUCAUACCCAAAGAGUACAGUACCCAAUUAUACAUUAUAGAACGUGAAAUCUCCAACAAUAUUACUCAUCACCUACCUCUACUUUCCUUGAAGAAAAAGAAGAACCUCAAAUUUUCCAAAAGUAAAAGAUCCUUUCCACCGAAAAAGUGAAAUAUGAUUUUUUUUUUCAGCGAUCGAGAUCCUUUCCACACGCAGAGAAAGAGCACCUUAAUUUUCCAAAUUGAUGCUUUGAUGUAAAGGCUAACUAUGUAAUAAACAGACCUUUUUCACUUAAUGGGUUGAGUUGUUUGCACAUGCCCCUGUCUGAACUCCAUUAGGUGAUAAGUGAAAAAAGUUAAUUUUGGUUUAACAAUAAAUUUAACCCAAACUACCUUCAUAUUAAAUUCGCAUUUUCUACUUAAAACCAUUCAUAAUGGAUAGAGGCUUAUGAUAUCACAUAAAUUUAAUCAUUUUAUAUUAAAAAUACUUAAUAUUAAGAUUACGUCACUUUCUAUAACAAAUUAUUUUGAUACUAAGAUUGUGACUGCUUAAUUCAAUUCUACAUGUCUUAUCAUUAAAUUACAUAUUAAUACUUAAAAAUAUUUUUUUCCGACGUAUUCUUUUUAAAAAUAAAUACAAACAACGAUGUUUACAUAAAUAAUUUUUUGUUACAUAUUUUAAUUUUAUUGAAUAAAAUUAAAUAAUAUUCAUAAGUAAUUGUUGAAUUAUGGGUCUUGGGCCGACCUUUGGUCAUUUAGGUAGGAUGUCAAUGUAAAUGAAUAAUGUAAAAAAGAUAGUAUAGGACGGGAAUUUGGAUUAAUUAACAUUAAUCAGACAGUAAAGAGAGAAUCAUAACGGCAGACACAUGAUUAAGACUGACUCCAUAUAUACUAGGUAAAACCUCAUAGAUAGAUAAAUCACAAAUUAGAUUAAGAACAUAUUUAUUCUUAACUAUUUUGAAUGUUCUGGAUUUAGGUCUCCUAUAUAAAAUAGUAAUUAUAUUAAAGCUGGUAUAUAAUAUUUUAACACAGAUGUAAUUAAAGAUGGAGUCCCUCUUAGAGAAUAAAACCGAUGAACAUGCAAUCGAGUUGCUUCACACUUUAAUUCUUAACUUUUGUAUCCUUUUUACACCAUUUAAAUACAAUAUUUAUUUAAUUUAAUAUGUGUAUGAUUGUCUAUGAGAUGAAAAUGUCUAUCGAUUGAACAUUUAUAAGUGCAUGUAACGUAUGAAUGACAUUAAAAUUGAUUAUUAUUAUUAUAUUGGUUUGCAUGCAAAAAAAUAUUGAACGUGUGUAUAAUGUAGUGAUAUUAAAAUCAAUUAUUAUUAUUUUUAUAUUAGUUUGCAAAAGAUAUUAUGGGUGGUAAUAACAAAGGAAAACAUAUAAAAUUAGGGAGAUUUAUAUUGUUUCGGAAACAAUUGGCUUCAUGUACACACACAUAUAUAUAUAUAUAUAAUUUUCCACUAGGUUAAUUACAUAAAUCAUUAUUUUUAAAGUUUGAAAUAAUAUUUUUUAAACAAUAUGUUCUUACUCAAACUCUUAUGUAAUUAUUAUAUAACUUUUAAUCAUAUAUAUUAUAUCUUAAAUUUAUAGUUGCAUAUUCCUUAUAUGAGGGAAUUAUCUAGAUACUCAACUAUUUAAGUUUAUAAGAAAGAUGAAUAAAGAAGUAAAAGUCAAAAAUAUUUUUAUUAAUAUAUUAUUUUAUAACUAAAAAAAAAUAUUUUUUAUUUUAAAAUACAAACACUCACUUAAGUUAUGUUCUUUUUAUCCAUUUCUAUCAUUUUGUUUCCUUUCCUAUUUUUCCUCUCCUUUCAUUUCCUUCUUUUCAUUUAAAGACAGAAAAAAGAUAAGUUAUAAUAUAACUUAACUAAAAGUUUUAAACAUAAUAUUUCAUUUUAAAAUCAUCAUAACAUUAAAUGUAAAAUUAAAUUUUACUUUCCAUUAAAGUAAUUAUAUUUUAUACCUCUUCCACUUUUUUUAAACUAUAAAAAAUUAUAAAAUUUAUAAUGUCAUAACCCUGGUAGUUCUAUUUCAUUAAAAAACUAUUUUGGUUAACUUAAAUUAUUAUGACGUGAAUAUGUACAUGUAAGAUACCACGUGAAGAUUUACAUUUAGGUUACCACUUGAAGAUUUACAUAUCUAUUUUUAGAAAGCUCAACCAUUUGAAGGGAAAACAAAUCUUUGUAGGUACUUACUCAAAAUCCUCAACCACGUUAUGGUGGGUUUGUACAAAGAAUACUCAAGAUAUGAUCGUACACUAUAUCAAAACUAAUACUCCCAACAAAUUAAUAACUAGAAAUAUUAUUUUUGAAUAAAUUAAAAAAUACAUUGACUAAAUUUUAAUCUUUUAAAAACAAAUAAUUUAAUAAUUCGGAGUUCCUAAACUUUUGGUCAAUAUCUAUAAAUCUCCAUUCUCUAUCCAACAGAAGCCCGAUAAAAGACUUAUGAAUGGGAAGAUAGAUUGAUAAUCGACACAUGAACAAGAACAAUAAUAAAAUAUUUUGGAGUUAUAGAAGUUUGGAACUAAGAUAUUUGAAGUUUGUUUUAUUCCCAUGAUCUUUACAAAUAAAUAUCCUAUAACUUUUAUAAAAUAAAUUUUAGAUUGCCACAUACUAAACACUAACUAAACUAAACUUUGUUAAGGUCAUUUGUGAUUAGAUCAGAAACAAUUUGAUUUUUACAUAAAUAGGGACUAAGUAGAUCAGUUGUAAAAUACAUAAAUGUUGAUGAAUUUUGAGAAAAAGUUACCUUGAACUCAAAUAUUUUUUCAAAAGAAUGUAACAAUGUCUUAGAUUCUGAAACAGUGUGAAAGAGUGGUGUUUUUUUUUUCUCUUAAUUUGAUUAUAAAAGUUGAGUGAGUGAGUAAGAGAGAGAGAGUGAAAGUGGUUGGGCAGAUCUAAAGGAGGUGCGGGCCAGAUGUCGCGGGGCGUGUGGGGGUUUGGCAUUAGGAAGUAAAAAUAGAGGCGCAACGUGACAAGAGUAAAACGAAAAAAAGCAAGAUGCCAGAUUCAGACACUGAAAGCUGGAACAUAACCACGUUACAAUACAACCAAGCUAAACCCAUGCUGAGUGGUCUCCACCUAAUCGCACGCUAAUAUAGCCAUGUAACAUGUGCUUUCCACCUAAUCACACGCUAAUAUAACCAUCUAACAUGUGCUCUCUUCUUUUCUAUCCUGUUCUAUCUCUUCUCUUCCCCUACCCUACACUUCCCACACGACAAAACCCCUUCAAUUAAUCCACUCAUUCAUACUCAUUAAAAUAUCCCCUUCAACAACCACCACCAUAAAUCCCACCACCAAACCAUUUCAGAUACUUUUUCACUCUCUCAGAUUCCUCCACCAAUUAAUUCGAGCCUACUGCUACUUAUCACCACUAUGCAGUUAUACAUUCUUUCUCCUUUUAAUGCGCAAAUCACACACCACGCACUUCCAUUCAAUUCAUUCCCAAUCAAAACCAGACCUCACUCUGUUCCAAAUCUAAAUAUUUUUUUUUCAUUAAAAAUAAAAUACAAACUCAUAAUCAAAUGAUCAACAUUGCAAAAUAAAAUUUAAAGUAGAAAGAUCAAAAUCCAAAUUACACCAAGUUCAUAGUAAUGAUAGUAAUAACAAAAGCUAAAAUAAGUUAAACAAAAGAUAAUAAUAAUAAUAAUUAUUGUGAAAAAAAAGGGGAGUACCGGAAUCAAGAAACGAGGAGGUGUUUUUGUUUUCCAAUUCGACAUGGCUAACUCAGGUUUCGGCGCAGUCGUCACUGUCGUGGGGCUUUCUGCAGAGGAUCAUGUGCAUCGGGGAGAAAAUCCCAGAAUCACCCCCUCUGGUCAAAUAGUCAGCGGUCUUGAAAAGCAUCUCAUGGACAUCGACGGUUCCCUUGGGCGCGAUUCCCAAGGCGGCGAGGACAGUGACGACGAUGUGGUUCCGCCAGUAGGCGAUCCGGCCCAUCUUCAAGCGGCUCCACCAGGGCUGAGACGGCGGCUUAGCCAGAUCCCGCUCCUUAACCACAACGAACCCAACCUUGCGCGCCGCUUCGGCUAUGUCAUCGUGGCUUCUGAGGCCAGGCAAGGCGUCACCCCUCUCAAUGCCCUGGAUAACCUCCACGUGUUCGGGGUCGUCGGCGCGGUACUUCUCGGUGGUGACCCACUCGUACGAGACGUAGAGCGAACCGGGCUUCAGAACGCGGAAGAUUUCGGCGUACACCUCUUCGAGCUUGGGCGCGUGACACGUGGCCUCGAUGGAGUAUGCGCCGUCGAAGGAGUUGUCGGGGAAGGGCAUACUGAGGAAAUUGCCGCAGACGACCUCACAGAGGGAGUCUAGGCCGGCUUUCUUGUUGUGGAGGCGGGCGCGGUUCACCUGGUAGUCGUUGAUUGUAAUGCCCACGACGUUCGCGCGGGAGUGGGCCGCGAUAGCACGCAUUGGCCCGCCCACGCCGCAGCCCACGUCCAGGACUCUGUCUCCGGGGCGGGCCUGGAUGAGAUCGACUGCCAUCUCCUCGUGGAGGCGCGUGGCUUCGCCGUGGGACUUCCCCGGGAUCGAGGGGGAGAAGUGGAAGGACUGGCCCCACCCCCACUCGUAGAUGUCAGUCACUAAAUUGUAGAAGGUGUCCACGAAGUCCGGGACUUUCUCUGCCGUUUCGAUCUCCUUUGGGCGGCGGAAGAACGACCAGUACUGCUUGUAGUUGUCCUGGACUUUCUCCGCCGAGAUGGACCCGCCGGACAGAUCGGUGGCGCGCUUUCCCUUCUGCUCGGCGGGGCCCAGUACGCACACGAACCAGUAGAUUCCGCCGGCGAUGAGCGCUCCGGUGCAGAACAGAGAGAGAGAGUCCAUUGUGGGGUUGCUGUUGCGGGAGUGAGAAAAGUGAGGAGAAGAGAUUGAAGGAUAAGGAAAGUUUAUUUGUGAGGUUUUCUUUCUGGAGUGGGCCUGUGGGCUGGGUUAACCUCUUCUUUAUUCAUCUACUGGACUUUUUCCAUCUCUCUGCUUUUUCUUUCUUUUACUCCACGUGCUUCCCGCGUGAAUCUUCCUUCUCUUCUUUCCAUCAAACUAUCUCUCUCCUUUCCAAAACUAUUGUUCUCAUAAUCUAUAUUUGCUCCAAAAUUAUAGUUGUUUAACAUGUCAACAUAUCAUUUCCAUUAUUUUUUAAUUAUACCCUUCCCUUUAUCUUUUAAAACAUUUAUUUUACAAAAUUAUUUUCUUUAAUGGGAGUAUAUAUAACUGUGAUAGUUAGUUAUUGCUUUUUACUUAAUGGAUUUGAACAGCUGUAAUUUUGAGAGAGAGGAUCUACUCUCUAUUAUAAUAAUAAAUAAUUUAGUAUUUCAUGGCAGUAGCUUAAUGGAAUUUAUUUAUUACUAAUAUUUAGUUUUCCAACGUAUUGACUUUUCUUCUUAAUUAAAUAAAUACUAUUAGAAUGUUUUCUCAUGAAAAAGUUACAAUUAUUUGGUUUUUUCCUUUUCUUUUUCUCACUUGGUUUUUGUUAUGUAAACCUUAAAGUCAUCAUUUCCAACACCCAUUUCCUCUUUCGCAUCUACCUCUAUCUCUUUUGCUUGCCCUUUUAAGAAAAAACUCAAUAAACUUCGUCUCGUAUAACCAUGAUGACAUUUGUGUUUUAGGUGACUUCUUACACACAAAUAAAAAACAGAAAUAUGUUUGUUUUAUUAAAUACCCAUUUUUUAAAAACACUAAGAAACACAGUUAUAAAUAAUGUCGAGACAUUCUAAAUAAAUAAAAAAUAUAUUUUAAUCUUGUAAUUGAAUUUCAUUUGUUGUUGAAGUUUAAAUAUAUAAAAAUUCAUUGAAAUUAAACACACUACAACAUUUGAAAUCCAACCAUGAAAAAGAAAAAGAAAGCAAACAAAAAAUCCUGUGAACAAAAUACCCAGUGAAACUAAUUUAUGUCAUAAGUUAAAUAUCUUUAAAUUAGUUUAUGUCUCUUGAGGAAUAAGUAGACUUAAAGAACAAAGAUAUUUUGAUUCCUCGUAAAGGACUAUGGUUCAUUCGUAAUAAUAGUUUGAGUCAUUUACGUCCAAUGGCCAUGGAAGAAAAAGUGAUAAAUAAUUAAUUUAAAAAAAUUACUUUUCUCUCUUCUAAAGAAAAUACUUCCAACUAACAACUAAAUUUAAUAAUAUAAUAAUAUAUAUGAUGAUUUUAUAUUAAAAACAAAUAAAUAUUUUGUCUUUUAGUAUAAAUGAAUGUGUUUUUGUCUUUUAGUAAUAUCAAAAUAUCAUUAUUCAAUUAAUUAAUUGCAAAUCGCUAUUAAGAAUGAAAAUUACUACUAAAUUCCAACCAUGCCUAGAAAUAGACUAAUCCCACCACAGAUCAUAGGAGGUUUGUAAUGAAUUGUGGUAACGAGAUUUUAAUUCCCGAAGAAGUGGUCCUAAAAAAACUAACCAGCUAAAAUAAACAUGUUCUUGUUAUAACUUCGAACCCUUCUAUUAUUACAAUGUUGAAAGAAUCAACCCUUUCCGUUAGUUUAGAUAUUUGAAACAACUUAGCAACAUAGAAAAGUCAGAUGUGUUUUUGUCCUCACACGAGUUUUAUUUCUCUACUCUUUUUUUAAAAAAUUUAUUAUUUGAUUGGUUUUUGAAGUUUUAUUAGAUGAAACUUGAAAUAGUGUCUAAUCGUGUCAAUUUUUUUUUUAACAUUUAUAAGAAAAAAAUAAAAUAAAUUUACUUAUAAGUUAAAAUUAGUUUAUGUUCUCAAACAGGGUUGGGCCCAGAGAACUAUUGAGAUUGCUUCUCUCCUUCCUUGGUCGGUCGGUUGGUUGGUCUGUACUUCGACUCCUUUCCUUGCAAGCUCUUUUCUUGUCUCUGCUUGUUCCACCUCUCGUAACCCAGACUCGGAUGGUACCUGUAGAAGGCACUCCGAUGCUCAAAUCAGUUUUAGUAUUCGACACUCGAUAAUCAGAGCACAGUAUGAUGACGUAUUAGAUUCUUGGAAUCUGUGCUAUUUAUAUUAUUUUAGUGGGUCUUUCUUAUUGGGCCAAAUUAGAAAGUUUGGAUCAUGUUUAGAAGUGUAUAACAUAGCUCUUGAUUGUUGAUUAGCUUCACUAACUCUACUUAAGCAUAAUUGGAUUCGUGGUGUUGAUCGGGCCAUUUAUAGGGACCGAGACAUGGUAUCGGUUGUACGACUCUUAUCGGUACACUUGCCUCCCAAGCUCGAGGAUGGUUAAUCCGAAGAGUCUUGGUCCGAGACUGAUGUGAUGAUUGGGCUUCCCGAAGUUUGACGUGACGUUUGGGCGGCGCAUGUGAUGACCUUUUACGGCAAGUGCACCGCUUUGUCAGAAGUAAUAAUUGUCCCUAAGGACGGAUAUCGAUCCCACAAUGAACAGUGAAUUAUCAAGUACAAUAAUCGUUAAAUAUAGAACAAAACAAUUAAAAGUGUAUUGAAAGUAGUUGUGUUGGCGAUGAUCAAUAAGAAAACAGACAAAGAAUUAGUUGUUUCAAUUGGAAAAAUAGGGAUUAGUUUCAUCUCUCCCACUCUCAAGUAUUUUGAUUAGCAUGUCAAUAUUAAGUUCUUUGAUUGAAAUUGAUGCCCGUAUAAAAAUCAUUAUAUUGAUUCCUCGCAUAUAAAAUCCUUAAGAAUGUCUCCUAACUAUUGAUCCCUCGCAUAAUUAUAAGAACAACUUAGAACGAAGCUCAGACGUUUAAUAGCAAUUAACAUUUCAAGUCUAUUCCUAAUACUCAAAUAUGUUAAGUAUUGUUGUUUAGGUCCGAACUCUAAAAUACCUCCCGGUCAGAUUUAAGAUUCUCAAUUUGUCACGAAAAAUUAAAAGUAAAACAACAAUACCAAUAAUCAAUCAAGAACUGAAUAUUAAUAUAUAAGAUAUCACCUCAAUACAUAAGAGUUUGAGCAGAUUACUCCUAAUCCCAAAUGGUAGAAUUAGCCACGCAUACUUCUAGCACCUUCCAUUCUCCCAAUUGGGUUAUAAUUCACUCUAUAGUGUUUUCCUCUCAAUCUGGCACACUACAGUUGAGCCUCUAGCCCUCUAUUUAUCCUAGUUUUCUAGGGUUAGGUUGCUUCCUGUGUCGCGCUAAUGAGCUAAAUGAUAAAACAUAAAAAAAUGCUCAAUCUUUCUUUGCAUCUUUUUCCAUUCUGGGACCUUUUAUCUUUAUCUUUUUAGCUCAAAUCAUUCAUCUUAAAUCCAAAUCUCCAAUCUUCCUUAGAAAUCUGCAAUUAACACCAAAUUUGGGAAUAAAAUACUCUUAUUCAAAUAAAGAUCAUAAAAAAUAUAAAAAGGUAUAAAUUCAUAAAUUAGGGAUUAUUUUAUAUGUAAAUUAGCAAUAAAUCCUCAUAAGUGCCUAUAUUUUAAUAUGAAAUAUUACUGAAAUUAGGCACUUAUCAGCAUGGACGCGCGAUUCGAUGUGCAUUAAUGAAGGGUUUUUCGACGUCAAUUAAUGAGGAUCGUUGGAUUGAGAGAGAUCUAACGGUCAAGAUGGAUGCGACGCUUCAUCUCCCGGGUCUCUCCAACCUAUAUAUAAUGGUCCCAAACAGUUUCGAACCACUCCUCUUCUGCUCUGAUUUCCUGCUUCGACAUCCGAAUACCCUUCGUCCUAGUGCACUGCUUUCCUCGUCCUCAAAAAGGUUAGUCAUGUCUUCCCUAUCUCGUCCUCCAUCCUCUUCAUCGACUCUCGCUUCUCCUCUUCCUUCACCUCCUUCGUCCUUGUCGUCUUCUUCUCCCGACUCCUCCACGACUGAGCCCUUGUCAGUCAAUGCAAUCCAAGCGUUGCACCCAGUGUAGAAUGUAGCCAAGGGAGACGAUCCAGGAGGUGCCACCGAUUGGUCGGGCUCCCAUGAGCAGUCAUUCCCCCUCUUGGGGCUUGACUGGGUGGACCCUAAGGUGACCAAGCUCACCUCCUGCUUCCUGAGCGGGACCUCUGUUUCUAAUUCCUUAGGGAGGGUCCCAAUUUUGAAGUCAGAUGUCAACCAUGGUAUCGUGACUAUUGAGCCCUGCCAGCCGACCGAUACCGUAUGUAUGGGUCGGUCUCCUUCCGGACGUCCCCUCUUCUAUAUGUACUCUUAUUUAUUUUCUGACUUGCACAUUUCUCUUCCCUUUGACAAUUUCACUAUGAGCGUCCUUUAGGCGCUCAACGUGGCUCCCACUCAACUCCACCAAAAAACCUGGGCAUCCAUCCAAGCUUUUCAUGUUAUAUGCGACGCACUCCGUCUGUCUCCCACUCCUACCACCUUUCUUAACUAUUACACCUCCCACUCGGCCAAGCCUGUUCUGUGGCAUUCACUUAUCAGUCGGUCAGGUAAUGUUCUUUUCAGUUCCUUCACCACCUCCUAUAAGAACUUCAAGGGUAGAUUUUUCAAAGUUUUCAUCCGACCCGAGGGCAUGAAGUUUUUCUUUGGUGAAGUCGGUUGGUCGAUGUUUUCUAUGUUUUGGACUAGGAAUCCUUCCAAGUUUAGGAAAUGGCCUCGUCCGACCCCGAGUGCCGAGGAGCAAGAGAUUUACUCUCUUUUUUAUCAGCUCCCAAGAAAACUCCCUACAUGGAAGUUGAUGGUCGUGUACACGUCUUCUCAACAUUAGACGGCCUUUCAGGAUAUGUUAGUUUUCUCUAGUCUCGAUCGGGCUUGGUCGUUCUUCUAUCAUUUAACUUAUGCAUUGUUCUUUUUAUUGAUGUAGAAACCAUGCAUAAAGGGGUUCCUCAAACCGAUAACCUGGUCAACGCCUUCUGUGCGAGGGCCUAGCAAUGGGACAAAGGUUGUCCCAGCAUAGAGACGGUGGCAGGCAACAACUAGUCUGUUGUUGGUGCUGGUUCUUUGGUCCCCUUUGGCAAGAGCAAGAAAAGGCCAAGAGAGGGGGUAACAUAGCCACAACUACUCGCUUUCCUGGUGUCAUGCCGACUCCCCCUCGAUCCUCUCCAUCAUUGUUGACUCUCUUCCGCUAACUGAUUUGUUCGACCGUCCAAUCGCUGCUGCCAAGCCUACUCCCAAGGCUUCGAGGUCACCCCUAUCUGUACUAAGGGGUGACUUGCAGUUUUCCAAGGGGUGAGAGUCGGCCUGAACCCCACCGCGAAGGAUCUGAUUCAGGUUGUUCCUGAGGAAGACUUGCUUCAGGGAAGCAUCGAGUUGUUUUGUCGGUCUCGUCCUGGCCCGUCUGGGUGCUGAUACCUGGGGCCGAUGAGUCGAGGAGAUCUCUAGGCUCGAGCAUGAGCUAGGCGAGGCCUCGAGCAACCUGAAGUAGUCCCUAGAAGCAAACUCAGAUUAUGAGGGGAAACUUGCUCAGGAGGCGGCUGAACAAGAGAUCGUCGCAGCUAGGGUGGUGAGUUGGAGAAACGGGAAAGAGAAAGCAUGGCCGAGGUAGCCAAGCUGAAGGAGGCCUUGGAGAGGGAUGAUAACAGGAUCGUAGUGCUGGAGGCUGAGAGCUCGGAGCUACAGGCCGAGAAGGAGGCGGUUGAGAUCGACCUAGACAAAACAAGAUACUUUGGUGAUGUCGGGCCAAAGCUUCGAUCAGGUAGUCCGCCAGGCCCACCUUCUCUACAACAGAGCCCCACCGUCCGAUAACUUCGACCCCAACAUGGACGUGUUCGAAGGCCGGAUGGUGCCUUGUGAGGAAAUGCAUGCCUUAUAGAGCGCAACCCGACCUGCUCCAACCGAGGGUGUUGAAGACAACGACCAGUAGGUUUAGACUUUAGCUUUUUGUUAUCCUCGACCAAGAUGUGGCCUUCUUCUUCUUAUCCUCCAAGGACGGGGUGUAGCCUCCACCUUCUUUGCUUGCUUAAUGAAUCAUGCCAACUUUUGUUCCAUUAUUUAUUUUUAAAAUGUACUUGUUAAAACAAACCGAUAAUGAUUAACCGAUCAAUAUAACUUUAAUAAGUUUUUCACAUGUGUUUGAUGUCGGCCGAUACGAUUGUGUAUACUUGAAUGAAGUGUUUAAGGUGUCGGUAAGGUAUGUCGUUUAGAGAUACAUCCUAGAGCAAACCACGUAUUCGGGUGUCGAUAGGGUAUGCCGGUUAAGGCUACAUCCUUGGCAGCACCAAGUCUUUAAGGUUUCGGUAGGGUAUGCCGGUUGAGGCUACAUCCUUGACCGAACCAAGUCUUAUGGGUGUCGGUAGGGUAUAUCGAUUAAGUCUAUAUUCUUGAUUGCACCAAAUCUUUAGGGUUUCGGUAGGGUAUGCCGGUUGAGGUUACGUCCUUGACCGAACCGAGUCUUCUUGGUGUCGGUAGGGUAUGCUACAUCCUUGACCGCACCAAAUCUUUAGGGUUUUGGUAGGGUAUGCCAGUUGAGGCUAUGUCCUUGAUCGAACCGAGUUUUGGGAAGUGUGUAAGUGUAAUUUGUUUGAACACAUUAAAUUUGAAGAGGAAAUGACUCAUUAAAACCUGUAUGACCGAAAACUCUCCUUAGGGAAAAAACGGUCGGGCGAGGAAAGAGUGCAUGAAUUUUAUUUCAUGUUUAACUGUAGUAAAAUUUGAUGUGCGUGGCAUUCCACAUCCUCGGUACAUUUUUUCACGACAGCCACUCUAGGUGGUAUGCCCCCUAGCUACAACUUCUCGGACUCGGAAGGGGCCUUCCCAAUUGGAUGAGAACUUGUCGUCAUUCUUUCUCAGACAAGGUCUUCCUUCUUAAAGCUCCUUAACUGAAGCUUUGUAUUGCACCGCCUCAUCGCUCGGAGUUUACAUGUAGCUUCGCAAAUCUUACUCUUGUCUCGGAGCUCAUGUAGUAGGUUAAGUCCAACCGACAGACUAUCUUAAUUUAGAGAUAAAUCAAAUAGUUUCCUUCUGAUGGUAGACUCGCCUACCUCGACUGAAAUCAUAGCCUUGGUGUCGUAUGUUAGGUUGUAGAGCGUUUCUUAAGUCGACAUCUAGGGUGUGCAGCGAUAUGCCCAUAGAACUUCCAACAACUCCUCGGUCCACCGUCCCUUCAUCGUGUUGAGUCGCUUCUUCAAUUCAUUCAAGACGACCUUAUUCGCGGUCUCGACCUGCCCAUUGGUUUGGGGGUGUUUGAUCGAGCUUAUUAUUGAUUUGAUACCAAGGUCCUCAUAGAAGAAUUGGAGCCCUCGGUCGAUAAACUGCCUCCCAUUAUCAAUUAUUAUGGUGUGCGACACUCCGAACCGACACAUGAUGCUUCUCCAGACAAAAUUUUGAACAUUCUUUGUCGAGAUGGACGCAAGGGGUUCGACCUCGAUCCAUUUGGUGAAGUAAUCGACCCUGACCAAGAGAAACUUUGCUUGUCCUUUUCUUGGGGUUAAGGGAUCGAUGAUGUCUAUUCCCCAGAUGGCGAAUGACCACGAAGAUGUCAUGUUGUGUAGGGUUUUUGGCUUAAGGUGAUGCAGAGGACCGAAGUUCUGACACUUGUCACAUUUUUUCACAUAUUCAGCGCAAUGACCUUGGACAGUCGGCUAGUAGUAGCCGACCCUUAAAACUUUGACGGUCAUCGUUCAUGCACCCGAAUGAUUACCACACACCCCUUCAUGGAUCUCUUUUAGGACAUACUCUGCUUGCUCCUCGGUGACACAUUUCAACAAUGACCUUGAGUAGUCUCUCUGGUACAGGUCCUGGCCAAUCAUGAAAUACCUUGAGCAUUGUUGUCUCAUUGUCUUUUCUUCCACUAGUUUGCAUGUGUCGUGCUCUAGUGAGUGCGCUCUUGUUCCAACUCCUACGGUCCACUCUUCACCUCUCUCCAGCACUCAAGGCGCUCCACUAGCUGAUGCAAAUUCCUUUUCGUACCACAAAUUAAUAGGACGACUUAUCUAUUUGACCAAUACCAGACCAGACAUCACAUUCAGUGUGAACAAGCUUAGUCAGUUUGUCUCAACACCCACAAUUUCUCGUCAAGAGGCUGCCUUUUGUAUCCUUCGGUAUCUAAAGAAUGCACCUGGAAAUGACAUCUUUAUAUUAGCAGCAAGCACUCCUCAGCUCAAGGAAUAUAGCGACUCAGAUUGGGCUAACUGUCUAGAGACAAGAAAGUUUGUCACAAGUUUUUCUAUUUAUCUUGGUGAGUCUCUUAUUUUUCCUAGAAAUCCAAGAAGCAACAAACGAUCUCCAGAAGCUCAUCUGAAGUCGAGUAUCGUGCACUAGCCGCCACCACAUGCGAGAUUCAGUAGUUAACAUAUCUGCUAUGAGAUCUUCAUGUUCAUUCCAUCCAACCAGUAAUACUCUACUGUGAUAACCAGUCCGCAAUACAAAUUGCAUUAAAUCAAGUCUUUCACGAACGCACUAAACACAUAGAAAUCGACUACCAUUCCUUUCUCCAUGCAAACAUCAGAUAUUUUAACCAAGCCUCUACCUCCAUCUACAUUAAAACUACUACAAUCCAAGUUGGGUAUGAAAAACUUUUUUAUUCUUUUAGGCCCCUGUUUGUUUUGGGCUUUUCCUUUUGGGCUUCAGUUCUUCUUCUGAACACCACCAUAUUUUAUAUAUCUCUUGUACUCUUUCUUUGACAUGUAAGAAAUAAAAUACUCAGUAUCUUUCUCUCUUAUCUCACACGUGUUCGGUUGCUUUCUUCAACCACCGUGCUAGGGUCUCUUUUUCUGGUUCUUUGGCUCUCUUUUCUUCUUAUCAGGUGGUGCAAAGCUUGUAUUGCUUCUCCUUACCUCUGUCGGUCCGAUCAAGCAACGUUGAGGAUACGCACCAACUCUAUUAGUGAGGAUGCAGAUACAACUGAAGUUAUUUAAAAAUGUAAGGAUAAUUUAAAAUUUUUAAAAAAGUUAAAACUUUUUUUUCUCAUAAUAUUGAGGUGUAGAGUAAAGUAUGAAUGUGCAAAAAUAAUUUACCUUGAGCACAUACACUUAUGCACUUAGUGGCGCAAAUAUAAACAUUUUCUUACAACAAAAAAUAUCCAUACAAUUAUUCAAAGACUAAAAUGUUAUAAGCUUUUCCACAAUCUUAAUUUUAAUGAAACGUAUGCAAUAUAACAUAACAACAAAAAUAUAUAGCUAACGAAUCUUAAUUAAAACUUAAUCAAAGUUCAAUCCCCUGUCUUUUCCAAUUUUUAUCUAAUUAAUUAGAUACAUUAAUUAUACCUAAUCCAUGAAUUUCACGAGAUAUUAUUAGCCCCUAUUGGACGAUGCUUUGCUUGCCUGUUUAAAAAAGGGUAUUCAUAAACUUGCACGCUUCAAGGCGUAAGUUAAUCUUGUAAUUUGAAUUAUCUUUGACGCCACGCAUUCCACUCAAGAAAUACAAUUUAACCAAAUACUUUGAAUAAAUAAUAAGUAUCGCUUCAGCUACGUGACUAAAAACCAUUACCGUCCCUGUUAAUUUUUAGUUGGAAGUUCACUUUGUCUCACAAAAGCAAGCAUUUGCAUCCUUUUUUACCUAUUGACCUGUCACUGUGAGUGUUAGAUUGAAUUCAUGCACAAUUGCGAGAUAACAAGUAAAAAAUGUACACUACUCUUGGUCAUAUGAUUAGCUUUGAGGUCAUGCUUAUAUAUAUAUAGGGUGCUUCUAAGUGAACCCUUAAUCUGCAUGUACUGUGGCUAAGCGUAGAGAGGUAGCUUUCCCUGUAAGAUAGUUGAAAUCUUACCUAGAAUUCUAGGUAAGUUAGUUCUUCAGUCAUAUCAAAGGGAAAUUAAGAGUGGCAUAGAGUGAGUGUGGGAAGGGAAUCAUGGAGAAAUUGUAUGGUUUGAGUAAUCUCUUCAUGACAGUGUUUCUUCACAACUUUGCCAUAUUCAUGGUGGUACCAGCCAUCACUGAUGUCACAAUGGCUGCUCUUUGCCCCGGACAAGAUGAAUGCUCACUCGCAAUCUACCUCACUGGUUUUCAACAAGCGGUGAGUUUUCUUCACUCAUUCUGCUUUUUAUCUUAUGUUUAAAUUCCUUAAUCUGUGAUUAGUUUUGAGUCAGUUCUUCAUUAGACAGUUUUUUAUUUUAUUUUAUCAAACUUACGUUCUUUUCGGAGAUUCUAGACUACUCAGUAAUAACUUUUCAUUGAUAAGCAACCCAAAACAUAGGUAAAAGGUACAAGUAAGAACUGCCAUGGAACCAAAUGAAACUCACUUUCUUCCAUAUUUAACAAAUUCAGUAAAGUGUAUAUGUUUUCAUACGCAUAUUUCUGUGUGUAAAAAUUCCAUCCUUUGGAGGAAAAAAUUCUGUGAAUUAACUUUCAUACGUGUUAGUCCAAGGCAUUCAUCCCUCUCACGAGUUUUUAUAUCUUAAGGAACUUAAAUAAAUUAACUUCUUAUUACAUAAUAAAAAAGAAAAAAAUGUAGUUUUUGUAACGAAUAAUAUAAAUUUCUUUGCAUUAAUAGUUUCCUUUCACUUCCUAUUAAAUUAUGAUAAAUUUAUAGUCGUGAGUUUGUGAUGCUUAUUUAUUUUCACAUCUAUUUUUUAUGUAUAUACGUGAGAGAGGUAAGCUUGUCUGUUAAACUAUUGCUGACGAAAUUAACUUUUUAAUUUUUUCUUCUCCUUUCAAUAUCGAUAAAAAAAAGUUGUGGAUGAAAAGCUUGAUAUACAUUUUAUUUUUUUUACAAUAUAUACCAUGAUAAAGAUAAACAAACUAAAUAUAUUUUCUGUGCGUUAAGUUCCAUAUUUUAUUACAUUCUUUUUGUUUCUUAUAUUUUUUUUUCUCUCUGCAUAUAAUGCUGUCAAAAUUUAAUGCAUAAAUAACGUUACUUUUCUUUUCCUAGUGUAAAAACAUUACCUUUUCUUAAUAAAGCUAAGAUUUAACAACUAUUCUUUACAAAAUUGAUGUCUAAGCCCGUCACUACUAAAAAUAAAAUAAAUUGAAUUUACAAUUUAAAAUAAUAAAAAUGGCAUGUAAUAUCUCUGGUUAAUUUGGGACAAAUAAGAUUUUAAAAGAUUAUUGUCCACAUUGACUUGAAUUUGUUGAUCAAUGAAUGACACUUCAUUUGUUGUUGUACCCAUCAAUGAGGAGUGGGUUAUAGACAAACUCAAAAUUAAAAAGCAAAUAAUUAGUGGUAAAGGUAAAUUGUGAUGGAGAUAACGUCUAUUUGGGUGAGUCUGUCGCUACUAGAGAAAGAAAUUUCCUUGUGAUUUCGUGAGCCUCGUAGGUUCCCAUUUUGUCUAACUUGUUACACAAAUUAAAAACUAACUUGGUUGGUUCACUUUUAUAAGCAGUUAGUGUUUGAUGCAUUUCCAUGCUUUUUCCUCCACUUGUCGUGGUUUUCCUUACGUUGUCUUUUGUCUCGUCAUAUGUGGAUCAAUCAGUUUUUUUAUCAAUAGUACAUCUUUUGUCCGCCUUCAAAUAUUUGUCACUAUGUGGCCAAUUUCGACUAAUUUUUAUUGGGCCUAAUCGAAAAGGUAACGAGGGCUUCUUCUUCCUGCACCCCUACAUGUUUUUUCAUACACCUCCACAAUUUUCUAAAUCCCGAAACUGGCCUUAAUCUUUUAUUUGAAAAAGGGCAUCGUGGUUAUCAGAAAUCGGGAUCUGGGAGUGUGCUACGGAUUUAUCAAUUUGGAACUGAAUCAUAUUUUUUUUUCUGGAUGAGGGAGUGUUCUGGAAACAAAUUUUGCAUAAAUUAUUGAUUUCCAGAUUACUGAAUCCGGAAACCUAAUUCUAUUAUGGAUUGGUGGAUCCGGAAUGUUUUUUUUUAAUGUGAAAUGCAUAUUUUGUAUUACGGAUUGGUGGAUCUGAAAUUUUACCGGAAGUGUCAAUCCGAAAUUUUUAUGGAUUCCAUAAUCCAGAAUGCAAAAAAAUAAAUACAGUUCAAGUGCAUUUUAGGAUUAUUUUAUAAAAUAAUAGGGACAGUUUGGUCUUUGCAUAACAUUGUGCGGGUGCAGGAAGAAAAUUGUAGGGGUGCAGGAAAAAACUGCCGGUAACGAGUUAUGUUCAGGACAAAUCCUCAGUUUGGUCCAGUCCAUAUUUCAAAAUAAAAUAUAGUACUGUAUUAUUUAAUUACCAUCAGAACAUUUUUCAACAUCUCUCUUUCCUUGUUUAUUAUGUAACUAUGAGUUAAUCAGAUUUUGUUUUAUUCAUUAUAAGAACAGUAAUGGAAUUUGUAAGGAUCUUAGUUAUUUUUUAAAACAAUGGGGAAAAUGUUCUGUUGAUAAAGGUUAAACUUCUCCUUCAAUCAUUUAGGAAUUUUCAACUAGUUUUUUUCAACUAAUUAAAUCUUUGUAUCGUAUAAAUUUUAUUAAUUGAGUCUUGAAAGCUUUUAUAGUCUCCACAAAAUGAUUUUUCAGUGGUUUCAAGCCAAUACAAACUAAUCAUAGAGAUCUUUUUCCAAAUUAAGAACCAAUUCUUUUGAAAUGAUUUAGAAGGUGUAAUUUGUAAAUAACAUGUAGUUAGUAUGAGAGAUAAUGAAUUCCAUUUUUUAAGAGAGAAACCAAAUAAAUACUGCACCAAUAAUAUGGCAACCAUUUUUUUGGCAAAGUUUUAAUGAUAUGAAUAACAUGUUGUACUUUGUGUGGUAGUGUGAAUGGGUAAAAAAAAGUGCUCUCACCUUUCACUUUACAAUUUUAUUAAUAAUAAAUUAUUAUAUUCUUUUAAUAAAACUAUUAUAAGUAAAAUUUUAAAAUAAAAUUAUAAUAUAUUUGAUUGUUAAGUAGAUGUGUAUAUUACUUAAAGAUGACAACCUAUUAUUAUUCCUAAAAAAAAAAAAAAUUUGUUUAAAACUUUAAUAAUACAAAAAUAAUCAUUCAACAAUAGUCAUUACAAGAAAAUUAUUAAAUAAAAACUAAUUUUUAGAGACCAAAAUAAUUAGUUGUAAUACUAACUAAAUUAGAGAUCAUUUUAGAAACUAAAAAAAAAAUGUUUUUAAAUUAGUUUUUAUUAUUGUUAAAUAGUUUCUAAAUUGGUAUCUAAUUAGCAACUAAGGUUUUAACUAUCAAUUAUUUAGAUUCUAAAUUUGGUAGAAAAACCUUGAUUGCUAAUUAGAUACCAAUUUAUAAAUUAUUUAAUAAAAAUUAAUUUAAAAAAAAAAUUUAUUUAGUCUCUAAAAUGAUUUCUAAUUUAAUCAUCAUAACAAUUAAUUAUUUUUUUAUUUUUAAAAAUUGAUUUUUAUUUCAUGAUUUUCUUUGUAAUGACUAGUACGAAGUAUCAUUAAAAACAAGGUUAUUUGUGCAGAUGAUAGGAGUGGGCACGCUCGUGAUGAUGCCACUGUUGGGUAAUUUCUCCGAUAAGUAUGGGAGGAAGGCCAUUCUCAAAGUUCCUAUGAUCCUCACAAUCAUUCCCACAGGUAUUUUUAUGUUCAAUGGCUCUUCAAAAAUACACCCUAGACAAUAUACAGAAGAUAAAAGUUUAUCUAUAUAAUUAAUUAAAAUUAAAUUAUUUUACUUUUGUAGUUGCAUAAACAUGCAUGACAAUCAUCAAAUAACUAGUUUAAGUAAAAUAUACCUAAUUCCUUUUUAAAUACAAUCUUAAAUUCAAAUAUAUUGUAUGAAGAUUAAAAAAAUCACUAACUUUUAUAAGUUUGAAAUAAAUUUAAAUUUCACUUCUUCAUAUGUUACGAAAAUUAUUUAGAUCCUAUCAUAACGAAGUUUCCUAAAAUAACGAAGUUUGUUAAACUUAUUAGACCAUCCAUAAAUAUAUUGUAUCACACACGAGUUGAAAGAUCUUAACAUGAGAGAAUAUGUUGGAGAUUAUACAUCCAUUAGAGAUAACAACAUUUUAUAAUAUAUAACUGACUACAAAUCUCACCUUAUAAAUUGGUUUUAUAAAAUUGAGUUAGCUUAAAAUAUAUUUUAUAUCACAUAAAUUAGUAUUUAUUGUUUUUAAAUAAUAAAUUAUCUUUGUGUGACAGGGAUAUUAGCUUACAAUAGGACCAAAAAGUUCUUCUAUGUGUACUAUGUUUUCAAGAUACUCAUUUCAAUGGUUUGCGAAGGAAGCGUCCCUUGCCUCGCUCUAGCUUACGUGGUAAGUCUUCAUUUAUGCAUGUGCUGGUGGUACUUUUUGCACAUCUCUAUUUUCUAUGAAGUAACAAGCUGGAGUAUCACAAUCUCGUGUUUGGUUGAACAACCCGUUUUCAAACCUCUAUUUUUUCAGGCAGAUAACAUUCCAGAAAGUGGAAGAAGCACUGCAUUUGGCAUUAUUUCAGGGAUAGGAUCUGCAGCCUUCGUGUGUGCCACUUUAUCAGCUCGAUUCUUAUCUACUGCCCAAACGUUUCAGGUAUUUUGCUUUUCCUUUUCUCUCUCCAAUUACGAUAUCUUAAUCUCAAUUCUUUUUUCAUCAUUGCAAUGCUAACUCAUUUUUCCCUAAAUAAGGUUUCUACUCUUAUUGCUGUGAUUGGAGCAGUGUACAUGCAACUUUUCCUUCGAGAUUCAGUCAUUGAUGAUGACCAACACCUUCACACCCCAAUCAUUUCACAACAGAAGCUCGCAAUUUCUAAGGUCGAUAGAAAAUUUGAAAGUAACAAGCCUCUUCUUAAAGCAUUGCGUUCUUUUCAGGACCUAGCCUCCUUCUUCAAUAGCAGGUGCAACAAUUUUCCUUCUUCUCCUCCAAUCAAACAAACAUUCUUUUUUGUGUGUGUCAUAAUUAUACACGUUUGAUUGGAUUUUCCAGCUUCACUAUUACACAAGCAGCAAUUGUUGCAUUCUUUAGUAACCUUGCUGAUGUUGGCCUUCAUGGAUCAAUGCUGGUAUUUUCUUUAACACCCUUCAUAUACCCUUUUUUUUCAUUUUCAUUCCUGUCCAUGUUCCAUUCAUAUAUCUAUAUAUAUAUAUAUAUGUAUAUAUUAUUGAUUUGUUUUUAUUUGUAAGUAGGUGUAGAGAAAGAUUGUGCAUUUUUAAAUCAGUGUUAUGGCAUACGUUGAUGCUUACACAUUCUUUAUUGCUUGAAUCUGGUUCCUUAGCUUCAAACCAAACCAUAUAGUGUCCAAGAAUGUUGUAUUUAUAUAUCUUUACUUAAGAUCUCUCUGUUGGCUUAUUGAAGUCAUACACUGCUACUAUUUGAUAUAUUUAAUUAGCAAUUUACUGAUGUUUAAUUUCUUUCAUUUUUAACCUUUAUAGACUGGAGUAACCAUGACAAUCUGAAACUUACAAUUGUAUUAUCUUUGACAUUUUUUCUAUAUAUAACUAGAGCUAGUUAGUCAAGUUUUAGUUCUUGGUAACACUUUUUUUUUUCUGUGUGCAGUAUUUCUUAAAGGCUCAAUUUCAUUUUGAUAAGAAUCAAUUUGCUGACUUGAUGGUCAUAUCUGGAAUUGCAGGGACUGUGUCACAGGUAUUUUUACAUGGUUAUAUUUCAACUAUCAACUGACAUGCCUCUUGUUAUUUCAUAAAUCUUCCAUUUCUUUGAUUUUCUAUAUUACGAAUCUAAAUAUUAAACAUUGAUUUUCAUAGCUUCUUAUUAUGCCCAUUUUGGCUCCUAUUCUGGGUGAGGCAAGGCUACUUUCAAUUGGACUAUUCUUUCAUUGUGUACAUGUAAGUAUUCUUUUAAUACAAUUAUAAAACAUUUUCUCUUUUGUGAAGUUCUAAACUUUUAAAAUGGGAUGCAGAUGUUCCUUUACAGCAUAGCAUGGUCCUCCUUGGUAUGUCUUUUGCAACUUUAUUUCUAAUGUCAAUUAUUUUUCCAUGUAUAACAUCAUUAUAAGGUUUAAACUUUAGAUGGAGUGGUUGAUUAUUCACACUUUUGUAUAUGCCUCUAUUAUCCUUUUGUUGUCCAUGUUUCCUUUUUUCUUUUUAUGUUGUAUAAUUUAUACUGUGUGAAUGUUGACAGGUUCCUUAUGCUUCUGCCAUGUUCUCAAUUUUAUUUGUUUUUUCACAGCCUUGUGUGAGUUCUGUUCCUCAUUUUGUCUUUCUAUAUUCUUUAAAAGCAUUUUUUUUUUUCAUUCUCAUCCUUCAAAUUAAGUAAUAAUCUAAUUUUACAUUCGCAGAUACGAAGUAUUGUGUCAAAACAAGUUGGUCCCCAUGAGCAGGUACAGAGUCAAUAACACUGAUUAACGUUAAACAAGCUGGUUGGAAUUGAUUUUCUUAUAAUAAGUAAAGCCUAAUUUCAGUUGUAGAAACAAACGAUGUUCUGUCUAAAUAAGUUGAUUUAUGAGUUAGUGUUUUGUGAUAUGAGGGCAUGACUAUUCGUAUUCUGUACAAUUUUCUUGCAACAAAAUGUAGGGUUGUUGCUUUAAUUAAGAACUAAUGUUCAAAUGUUUUUACUAAUAAGUAGUCUAUUUAAGUUUAACUCAACCUUAGUUUAUCCUUAAUUAUAUACUAUCAAAUGACAUUAUUUCUAGUUAAUGUGUCAUUUUUCAACUUUUUUCUUUCUUUCCCUUUUCUGAUAUGAGUUUGCAUGCAGGUCAUAUGUUCAGAUACUAACAUGAGUGUAAUUUACUCAAUUUUUAUUGAAGUAAAGAAACAACUCGGUUUUGCAUGAUAAAAGGCUUUUAGUUUGUUUAAUGUGUCCCCCUCAUUUCUCUUCCUUUUUAGGGAAAGGCUCAAGGUUGCAUCUCUGGCAUAUGUUCAGUUGCACAUAUAGUUUCUCCCUUAGUUUUCUCUCCAUUAACAGGUGAGAGCAUGUGAAUAUGUCAUAUUAGAUUUAGAUAAUCAUCCCAAUUUAUUAACAAUUACCCUUUUCAAUUAUCAGCUCUCUUCCUUUCUGAAAAAGCACCUUUCGAUUUUCCCGGAUUCAGUAUAAUGUGCAUUGGUUUUGCUUCGGUAAGAACUUAACCUGACUCAAAAUGUUCUAUUGUUUUUUCUCCUAAUAUUGAUCUCUAUAUUUAUUUGAUUAUCCUGACUUCCAAUAUCUUUCUUACAUACAAAUGUGGAUAGUAAUUUGUCUAGUUAUGGUAUUAAGUUGUACUUGGGUGAUUCAUUCACAUAAUGCAGAAACACAACAUAAAAUUUUUUUAUGCGGGUCGGGUUGGUUCGUCCCGCAAAGUGAGUGCGGACUAGACUUUUCGUCUCACCCCGUAUAAGGACUGGUCUGUUGCUAUUCAAAUUUUUUUUUUUAGAAAUUCAAUAAUUUUUUUUUUACUUUUUCUCUUGAAAAAUUGUCAUAAAAAACAAAAACAUUAGGAUUAAUACAACAAUAAACAUUAAUUGAAUGUUACAUAAUCCAAGUAUCAACCUUCCAAUAUUCUUGACUCACACUCACUACCUAACAUAUCUGCUAUUAUUUAUUCCAAAUUACAUGAAAAUAUCAUAUAUGUAUUUUCAUUCCCAAAAAUAGAUAAAAAAAAGAGUCUUAAGGAAAUUAUAACUCCAAUGACCCUUGUAAGUUUCUACCCCAAAAUGAAAAAGGAAAAAAAACAAAACAUUUACUCAAUUGCUGCCAAAGGCAUUUUUUUUUGUUUGCGAGCCAGCCCGCUCCGCUCUGCUGCUGGCCCGCGCAAACCGCGGAUUAUGUGAGAUGGGCUAAUGCGGGUUGAAAAGCUGAGUCCAUCCCGUGUUUUUUACCAGUGGACCGCAAUGCGACCGUGCGGUCCGACCCACUUUGUCAUCCCUACCAUUAUACAUAAUUCUUUUGGUAUUGGAAUUUGUAAUAUUCAAGGACAAAAUUAGAUCUUAGAUAUCAAUAUCAAUGGGUAAAUUGAAUUAUAAACCUCAGAAGUUUUUAUAAGUAUACGUUGUAUUGUAUGUAAUCCAAUUCUUGAUUUAGGAUAUGUUUGGAGAAACGUGGGUAUAAGAAUUUUUAUAAAAAAAAAUAUUAUUUUUUAGAAGUUAAAAUUAAUUUAUGCAAAAGUUAAAUGGUGUAGAUAGAGACUCUCUCAUAUGGUUUUUUUAGAUUUUUAUUUUUAAUUUAUAAAUAUAUCGUUUUUUUUUUCUUUUAUAAAGAAGAUUUUCUAAAUAUAUCCUUGACUCAUUUAUGUUAGAUUCUCUUAUUUAGAUUUUUAUACUAAAAUCUAGUUAUAUGUCAUUUUAAUUGUAAAAAGGAAAGUUGUUCUAUAUAUUAUUAUAUUUUAAGUAUAUUUAGGCCUGAUUUUACUUUAUUUGCAUUGACUUUUAUAUUUAUGUAUUUACGUGCUCUCUAUGGUUGAAUUUUGUUUUACAGAUGGUAUCUUUUAUUCAAAGUAUGAUGCUUCGAGUGGCUCCUCCCAUUUUGAGUUAGGCAAAUAGAAAUAAGUUAGAGCCUUUUUAAUUUUAACGGUAGCGAAUAUUUAUGGUCUAUACGAGUUUUGUCUUUAGUGAUGCAUUUGGGAAACAAUAUGUUAUAUAAGUUGAUUUCUAUAAUCGACAUUUGAUAUACUUUUCAGUUUCAUAACUUUUUAGUUUUACGGUCAUUGUUAUUUUGUUGGCUUAAUUGCUUUAUGUAUUGUUUAUUUUGAAAUAAAAGUUUCAAUCAGGUUUUUAUAUUAUUUUACACGAUCAAGUUUUUCAAUUUUAAAAAUAUAAUAAUACAUCAAUGUACUUAUUUAAAAUUCAAUUAAGUUUUUAUAUAUUUUAAAAUGCAAUGAUAUGAUAAUUUUAUAUGUUGAAAUUGUUACUAAUUUAAUGAUGUAUUAUUGUAAGUCAGUUAUAAAUUAUAUUGUUCAUAUAUUAAAAUUAUUAAUGAUUAUUUAUAUAUAUAAUUUUAAUAUCAGUUAGAUGAAAAAUAAUUAUAUUAUUAUUUUUCAACCUAUUUUGUGAAAUAAUGAAAUUAAAAAAUGUUAUUAAACCUAUUUUGUUAUCACGUUGCAACUUGUAGCCAUACAGUUGUACUGUUGAAUUUUAUUAUUUUAUAAGCGCGUUUCAAUAAAUGUUAAAUUUAUUUUUAAAAUUUAAAAAAAUCAUCCAUUUUAGUUUAUGAAAUGAUUUUUUUCUUUAUUAAAGCUUCUGGAUUCUCUACUGGCGCGACCGAAUCAUUCGGAGAGUCGAUCAGGAACUCGAUCACUCGACCACGACAAGGAGGUCAUGUGAUGACACGUGACCGACCGACCCAUGAUGACGAGCCAUGGAUUUACCAAGUCAACAGGGUUAAUCCAUAAUUAAGAAACCCUAAACAUGAACCAACCCCAUAAUCCAGCCCACCAACGAAGGUCCAUUAAGGUAUUAUAAAUAGCACAAAUUCCAAAAACCAGGUACGUCAUUAUCUACAGUACUCUGACAACUGAGUGCCGACACCCUAACUGACUUUAUCGUUAGGGUGCCUUCUGCAGGUACCCUCCCAGCCUGUGUUACCGCACGACCGAAAGAAGGAAGGUCAAACAGGAAACUAAGAGUAUAGGUGACCGACGAGAGGAAGAGCAACACAAUUUUUCUCUAGGCCCCAACACUCGUUUGAGAAAAGUUAGUUUAUAAUGACUACAUAUUAUCAUUAAAAGAAUGGGAUAAUCAUAUGUGCCGUCACAUUUUUUAUUAAUUGGGAUAAUCAUGUAAUAUUAUUUGGGAGUUAUAUUUGUAGUCUUUAUUCCUCAUGGAAGAUUCACUUCUAAUUUUUCAGUAAUUUUUUUACUGACGUCUCUGAAUAAUUUUUAAAUUUUUCUUAAUUUUGUGAUCAUUAUUUUUUAUUAUGUUUAAUCUCUCUAUCAAAUAUAAAUAUAUAAAAUAUGUAAAAUAGAUGUUAAAAAGGGAAAUAAUAAGAACUGCAUAGGUUGUAGAAGAAUAGUUGUAUGGUAGUAACAGUAAUUUAAAAUUAUGGAGGGAUAUGGAUCUGUUAAGGUAGGAAAUGGAAUGAGGGCCCAAGGAGUAAAAAAGGCCCCACAAAGUAUUUAUUGGGCUGACACGAGAGGAUCUUGUUCCCAUAACCAUUGCAUAAGAUCUCCUAAUCCUGCCAUUUACACGUGUUGACGUGUCCAAAAUUAGACGCCAACGGCAACGAACAGAAGAGAACGAAUGGCCAAUCCCGUUACCCUCUCUUUCCCGCGAACGCCACCAUAUUAAGUAACUUAUAAUAUUAAUUGAACACAGCAUCGCCAGUGGCAUUCCAUUCGGUUUCGCCGCCGAACAAAUAAACCGACGGAGUAAUAAUGCUGUAGCCUCCGUAACGCCGUAUCGUGGUAGCGAGCGUUCGAAGGUUCCGCUUCGCAUUAUUCAACGACGCUCCCUAUCACUCUCCGUCGCAAAACCUCCUUCAAUCUAAUCUCACCCACCGGUGACCCCUCCGCCAUCACAAUGCCUCAAAAACACAACACCGUUGUCUACCUCCAUGGGACCCUCGAUCUGGUAAUCGUCGAGGCUCGCUUUCUUCCCAACAUGGACUUGCUCUCCGAGCGCGUUCGAAGGUUCUUCUCCGCCCUCAACACUUGCAGUGCCUCCAUCACCGGAAAACGGAAGCUCCACCGCGCCCGCCACCGCCACCGCAAGAUCAUCACCAGCGAUCCCUACGUCACCGUCUGCCUUGCCGGCGCCACCGUCGCGCGCACCCGCGUGAUCUCUAAUUCGCAGAACCCUACCUGGGACGAGCACUUCAAGAUCCCGCUCGCGCACCCGGCCGCGCAGGUCGACUUCUUCGUCAAGGACAACGACAUGUUCGGAGCCGACCUCAUUGGAGUCGUCACCGUCUCCGCCGAGAGGAUCCUCUCCUGCGAGCCCAUCAGCGACUGGUUCCCGAUCAUCGGCUCGUUCGGGAAGCCGCCAAAGCCUGACUGCGCGCUGCGCCUCGCCAUGAAAUUCACGAGGUGCGAGGACAAUCGCAUGUUCCGGUCCAUCGACGAACCGGAUCCGGACCGGUUCGUGGUUCGUGACUCGUAUUUCCCAGUCCGACACGGAGGGGCUGUGACGCUGUAUCAGGACGCGCACGUGCCUGAGGGGAUGUUGCCGGAGGUUGAGUUAGACGAGGGUGUGGUGUUUGAGCAUGGGAAGUGCUGGGAAGAUAUAUGCCACGCCAUUUUGGAAGCGCACCAUUUGGUUUACAUUGUGGGUUGGUCCAUCUACCAUAAGGUUAGGCUCGUGAGAGAGCCUACCAAACCUUUACCUAGCGGUGGUAGUUUAAAUUUGGGGGAGUUGCUCAAGUACAAGUCUCAAGAAGGUUUGCGAGUUUUACUAUUGGUUUGGGAUGAUAAGACUUCGCACAGCAAGUUUUUCAUUAACACGGUAUGUACAUUUUAUGUUUCAGCAUUCCUUUUGUGGUGAAAAUGUAAUGUUCGUUGACGAUGACGAUGUUCAAUCGUGUUUCUGUUUUUUUUUUAUUAUUUAAAUGUGAAUUUUACUGUACAAACUGAUGAAUGAUAGCUUAGAAGUUUUAAUUUAAUCUUCUUGUACAUGUUUGCUAUUGUAUACAAUUGUAUUGAGGAGUGAGAACAUAGUGAUAUUCACUCUCCCUUAAAACACUUGGCAUAUGUGUGAAAUGAAAUCUUUAAAUAUAUAACAUGAAAUCAUAUUUAAAUUGUAGGAUUGAAAAAAUAAUACAUGAUUUUGUCAAUUAAACUGAUAUGUGACCGCUCACCACCAAGUUAAAAAGUUAAGCAUCCAUACAUUGUGGUAUUGUUCAGAUUUUGUAGUAUUGUGCAUCUUUGAAUUAAAAUUGACAAAUUUUAUUUUGGAGGAGUUUUUAUUUUGUAAACUGGAUUUGCAAAAGAAACUCAAAUCUUAAUUUUAUGAAAACUUCGUUUCAGACAAAAUAUAGGUGUGCAAACACACUAAGGAUAACCAAUUAUGAUAAGAAACUGAGUUUAUUUCCCAAACAGAAUCUAGACAUAGCUGUAAAUGUAGUUUUUAUUUAUUUUUUAGCUUACAAAGUUUGAGGAGUAACAUGUUGAUGUGAUUUUUGUUCCUUCGUUGGAACGUGCUUGUGACGUAUUGAUACAGCCUUUUAGGAAUGGUUUGAUGAUCUUCCUUCCGUUAUUGAUAUUGGAUUGGUAUUCAAAUUGGACCUUACAGUAGUACCGCUCUUCAAUUUUGAUUUAAAUAGCCAGAGACAGAUUACGAUUUCAAAUCACCUGUUGUAUGGGCACAUGGCUGUGUGUUCAUCGUCUAAGUUCUAACUUAUAUUAUAUGCACUUCGAUUUUGUACUUCCCAGUUGCUUGAACACCGAUACCGAUUCGGACAUAUUUGCUUUUUGUUUGGCAUUCUGCCUAGUUGAAUAUGGUGUUUGUUGAGUUUUUUCUUUUCGCAGCAUUACAAGUUAGUGAAUUUGAUUGCAGACUGGAGUAAUGCAAACGCAUGAUGAAGAAACUCGAAAGUUUUUCAAGCAUUCUUCAGUUAGAUGUUUGCUUUCACCAAGAUAUGCCAGCAGUAAGCUUAGCAUUUUCAGGCAGCAGGCAUGCUUUAUGCUAUGGUUUAGUAGCUUUCCCAGAUUUUGUCAUUUUUCUUUUAGAAAGUUCUUGAUUACUUGAUCACGUUUGCUUUCCAUCUUUUCAGAAUGCCUCUCUAAUUUUAAUAUAUGCAUAUGAGGGACGGAUCCUAACGUUGUUAGAUUUUAAAUGAUAAAAUAAUAUUUCUUUGUCUUGAUAGACAUUAAACACGAGAGGCCAUACCAAAAUCUAUAAAUGUUUAUGAAGAGAGAAGCAGAAACAAAUUUUUACUUGACAAGAUCAUGCAAAAUGUAACAUGAAUUUAAUUCCCUUUCACAGGAUAAAUUCCUUCCUUGAAUUUUGCAUUGAUGUGUUAAUGAAUUAGUGGGAAACCUUCCUUUUUGUAUUGCCCAAACUGCUUGCCUGGCAUAUGCAAACUUUUAAUUUAACAGUUAACCCAGAAUUUUUUUUUUGUUAAUUUAAUAAUCAAGAGUUGAGAUUUUUUAAUCUCAACAGAGUUGCUUUUCUGAAAAUACGUUAUUUUUGUUUUCGAAAAAUUGAAAAACAUGUUGACUAUAUUACUUUGACGCAAAACUUCAGGUUGUUGGAACGCUCUUUACACAUCAUCAGAAAUGUGUGAUUGUGGAUACUCAAGCACACGGGAAUAAUAGGAAGAUAACUGCAUUUAUAGGUGGUCUAGAUCUUUGUGAUGGCCGGUAUGAUACACCUGAGCACAGAAUUUUUCGCGAUGUUGACACUGUUUAUCAGGACGAUUUUCAUAAUCCCACAUUUUGCGUAAGUUCAUAAUCUCUGAGUUACGUAGAAGUUGUCGGAUUCCAAAAUAUGCAUCGAUUACACACACACUCAUAAAAGCUUUUGUUUUUAGGACGAUAUAUGUCCUGUUUCUGUUUCCUUCUCUAAUAAGCAAAAGUAGACUUGUUUUAUUCAGUGAGGUUAAUUAAUAAGACAAUAGAUAUUAGUGAUUUCUUAGUUUGAUGUAUAGAUAUUCACAAGGGCGUUGUUUUAACAUAUUAUAAUUGUUUAACAUGUUAAAAAUAGUGACCGAAAACUUUCAGGCCUUCCACUCACUCGGCAGGUUUAGCAUGUUAUACUGUUGUCAUCGGCACUUCGCAUCAAGUAGUUGCUUCAUAAAUAUAAACUGUCGUUUGAUGUUUCUUUGAUACCGAUAUUGAGAUCAUAAGUGUACAGUUACCAACUGAAAUUUUUCCUGUCUUCCACUUUUAUUAAUAGACGGGAACCAAGGGUCCAAGGCAACCAUGGCAUGAUUUACAUUGCAAAAUUGAAGGCCCUGCUGCAUACGAUAUACUCACUAAUUUUGAGCAGCGUUGGAAAAAGGCCACCAGAUGGUCUGAGUUGGGUCGAAAACUCAAAAGAGUAUCUCACUGGCACGAUGAUUCUUUGAUCAAGUUAGAACGCAUCUCUUGGAUUCUUAGUCCUUCUGAAUCAAUUCAAACCGAUGAUCCUGAACUAUGGGUUUCAAAGGAAGACGAUCCUAAAAAUUGGCAUGUUCAGGUCCCUAGUUCACUGUCUUUAAGUGUCUUCUGCUUCCUUUUUUUUUUCAACAAAGAUUUUGUUUAGUUUACUUUUUUAUGUUCUUCACAGGUUUUUCGAUCCAUAGAUUCUGGCUCUUUGAAAGGAUUUCCUAAGGAUGUAUUUGAAGCUGAGUCCCAGGUAAGUUAUCCAAACAUUGAAUUGCUUAAUAUUUAUAUUAAUGUCAUAGAACUUUUGGAUUUCCCUGUGUCGUUAAUUUCCUUUUUAUUUCCAUUCAUUGCAGAACCUUGUUUGUGCAAAAAAUUUGGUUGUAGACAAGAGUAUUCAAACAGCAUAUAUACAUGCUAUCAGAUCUGCUCAACAUUUUAUUUAUAUCGAGAAUCAAUAUUUUGUCGGAUCUUCCUUUGCUUGGCCAGCUUACAAAGAUGCAGGUUUUGGCAGAAUAUUGAUGCUUACUAAUGUAACUUGUUGCAUCUGUUAUUGCUCAUAAUUUCUAUAUAAGCACCUAUGACUACUAUUUAGCACGUGACAUGCAUUAUACUACUUUUAAGCUCAGAACGCUAGAAAACUCCUUAAACAAAAGGAAGAAAUAGACUUAAUUCUGAUUCCAAUAUUAGAUCAUUACAAUGAGUUUUAUAUUUAUAACAGAAUGAUACACACCUCGGUAUCCUAGAAUAAUGUUGUUACACACAAAAUAGAAACGAUAAUUGUUUCUUAAUAAUUUCCUUUUUGAACCUAGCUCACUCAUUUUUAUCAUUAAUAGAAGAUAAGAUAUGGUAUUAAUAUUCCUUUGGGCCUAACUGUAAGAAUGAGUUUGGAUCAUAUCACAAUACCGUUGUUUUUAGCUCCCAUGGUGUAAAUCGAACUUCUGCUUAACACAAUUGAUGAAUGAAAAACUGGGUCUAAGUAAAUUAUAAGGUAUUGACUACGAUUGUGUGGCCUGAGAAUAUCUGCAUCACUUGAAAGCUCUUGUUUUUCCCUCAAUAAAAGGCCACCUAGUGGGACAAGACUUGGUUAUUGACAUCGUUCUUUUCAUUAUUUUUUAGUAACAUUUUCUACUUAUCUAAAAUUCCAUUAUUUUUUAUUGAUCAGGCGCUGAUAACCUAAUUCCGAUGGAGUUGGCACUGAAGAUAGUCAGUAAGAUACGAUCCAAGGAGAGAUUUACAGUUUAUAUUGUCAUCCCAAUGUGGCCCGAAGGUACCCCUUCAUCUGCUACUGUGCAAGAGAUACUCUUUUGGCAGGUUAGUUAAAAAAUUACGUUGCUAGCUUAUCAUACAAAAAUCUAAAAUAGGAAAACAUUUGUUCGUUGAUCUAUUGCAAGUGUUAUAUUUAUUAAUUAAAAAGAAUUGGCAUUUUCAGGGACAAACUAUGCAAAUGAUGUAUGAUGUCAUAGCUCGGGAAAUAAAAGCUAUGCAACUUGACAGUCAUCCACUAGAUUAUCUCAACUUUUAUUGUCUUGGAAACCGAGAGCCGUUCAAAACUGAUUUUUUAAGCUCAAGUAAUUUGCCUCCAGAUAAUGGCGAAACGGUAAUCAUUCAAAUAUUUUCUGAGUUUGACACAUUAUUAAAGGAAGGAAUCAAUAAACUAGCAAUUGACAGGUUUUAGCCAGUUGUGAUAUACUUUGAGUUUAAAUAUAAAUAAAUUUAACUUAUUUCAGCUUAUUUAGUAACAUUUUUUCUAAAACACUUUUCAUUUAAUGGUGAUUCUAUUUUUAACGACUUCUUUUAAUUUAUAAUAUCAAGUUAGAGAUAUUUUAGAAAACAAGUUCUUGUCUUUUAAUUGCGAAGUAAUGACAAUGUACUUGUUGGUGGAUAGGUAGUUCGGGCCUAUUAUUCUUGUUUUGCAUUUAAUCACGUUCAAAUCUUUAUAUUAUCAGAUUUCAGCCUCACAAAAGUUCCGAAGGUUCAUGAUUUAUGUACAUGCCAAGGGAAUGGUUGUGGAUGAUGAAUAUGUAAUUCUUGGGUCUGCCAACAUCAAUCAACGAUCCAUGGCUGGAUCAAGAGACACUGAGAUAGCCAUGGGUGCAUAUCAACCCCGUCAUACAUGGAGUGCGAAAAAGGGGCAUCCACAUGGUCAGGUUUAUGGGUAUAGGAUGUCUUUAUGGGCAGAACACACGGGGAGCAUAGAAGGUUGCUUUAAGGAUCCUGAAAGUCUGGAGUGCGUGAAAAGUGUGAACAAUAUUGCUGAAGAAAACUGGAGAAAGUACAUAGCUGAUGAUUAUACUCCAUUGAAAGGGCACCUGAUAAAAUAUCCUGUGAAUAUAAAUAUCAAUGGGAAGGUAAAGUCCAUACCCGGAUUUGAGUCUUUCCCAGAUGUUGGGGGCAAGGUGCUUGGCUCCAGGUCUAACCUUCCUGAUGCUCUAACCACAUAGGCAUAGCAUACACUCUUAAUUUCUAACUGAAAAUGGGAGUAAGUACCAAAUCUCAGAGGGCACAUUGCCCAUGAUUUUUUUUUAAUCAUCUAUACGGUAUAGUAUGCAACAGGCUUCUUAUAGUAUUUAUUAGUGGACUGCCAUGUCACGCCGACAUUGUAUAUGUGUAUCAAUUCUUUUCUGCCAAAACGCUCCAACGUCCAAUAAACCAUUCAUUCAUUUCCCUUCCACUUGUAUAUUUGCAUCCCUAAUCCUUAAAUCACUCAUAACACAUGUUAAUAAUCAUCAUUGUACUGAUUCAAAUUUAACAUUUGAGUAGGAAAAAUAUUGGUAAUUUAUCUUACUGAUAAAUAUUUUUUCUAUACCAGAAACUAGUAUUUUCUUCUUUCUCUUUCAACCAUUUCUAAGUACCAUCCUUUUGUCUUUGUCUAUUUUAAAUUUAAUGAAUUUAUCUCUAAUUUUACUAGUAUUUCUAAAAGAUUUGUCAAUAGUUAAAAUAAAAUAAAAAUUAUACCAUGUGUGCUAAUCAAAAAGACAUUCUUGAAGCUGUAACUUUAAUAAAUUUAGAUGAUGCAUUAUAAUUUUAAUUCUUAAAAUUAAUAAAAUCAAUUUAGUCAAAUUUUCUUCUUCUCUCAUAAAUAUUAUUUUCUGCAACACAUUGAGUCUUUUUUUCAUCAAAGUAGAGAAAAAAAAAUGUACAAUCUCGUAAUGAAGGUUCUGCCUUGAUUACUACUAACUCAAAGUCAGACAUUAUCCUCAUGCGAAAGAUUAAUUGUGAAUCCCAACUCCAACAAUUUAAAAGAUCAGCAAGCAAUAUAAAAUAGAGUUAUAAACUGGUGUUUUUAUUAUUCAGUUAUCAAAAGUAACAUUUUUUUUAUAUAUUAAUAUCAUCUUCACCUGCAAAAUUUUGACUAAUACCUUUAGAAUCUCCCUACCCAAAUGAUACUUCAUCUUUCCCGAAAAUACGUCAUGUUAAAUUCAAGUUUCAUAAAAAAAUUUAACUUCACAAGCAUGCCUAAAUAAUGUAAUGUGUUCGAAAUAACUACAUUGUAAACCAUGCACAUGAAAAUGUCAAGUAUUUGAAGUUUGUAAACGUAAUUUCAUUAUAUUUAACUUAAUAUUUGAAUUCUGCAGACGCAAUUCCUUUAUAUCUAACGCAUUGUCAAAAAAAUUUGUAUAGAGUAUAAUUUGAGUUUAUUUCGAACAGGACAUCUUUCAUCAGAAAGAAAACUAUCUGCUUAUACGUUAUAGAGAGCAAUUGUCCUAACGAAAUAGCAUACUACUGUGUUCUUCUCCAAAUCCAACAUCUCAGUCUAGUGAAACCCAUAAAACUUAGUCUUGAUUAGACCAGAAGGGAACGGAUGGUAAAAGAAACGAAAGGAAGUAAAUGAAUUACAAGAAAGACAUUAUAUAUCGGUUCAUUCAUCACAUAAAUAACAUAUCCCAUGAUAACAAGAACAUGUGAAUUAAGCUCUUCUAAAAAACAAAAUCACAAGAACGAACCACCACAAUUUUCUUCUUCAAUCACAGACACAUAGAUUUAGUUAACAGUGACUUUUCCGACCAUACCAGCUCCUUGGUGAGGCGAGCAGUAGAAACUGUAGGUUCCCUUGGUAUCCAAAGUGACGACGUAAGUCUCACCAGGUGCGUUCAGCAACUCUUCCUCGGGCAUAGAGAUUUUCACAGCAUCCACGCCAGCAGGAAUCUCGUCCUCGUCGAAAACAACGUUGUGCGGGAACCCUGCGUUGUUCUUGAACACGAUCUUUUCCCCAGAGGGAACGGAGAACUCGCUGGGAACGAACACCAAAGAGCCGUCACCGCUACCAAGCAAGACUUCAAGGGCCAUGGCAUUGCUGGCGAGAACGGCGCUGGCGGCGGUGGCCACAACUGCGGCUCCAAGGUCUUUGAGGGAAGCCUUGAUGCCGAAGCGUGGGGCCUGGGGAACUGAGACUUUAACUGCGGCAGCACUCACUUUGGUUGGUCCACUCGCCUUGAGGCCGGUGAAUGAGGGAAUAGCGACGGCUGCGGAGGUGACGGCGGCCAUGUUUGUCUGUGAAGGAAGGUCUGGCGAGUGAGGUUGGUGUGUGGAAUGGGAAAUCAAAAUGGAGAAAAGCGAAGGUUAUUUCUUAUAGAGUGAGAAAAUGGAGAAAAGUGUGGAUUGGUUUUUG